rnacentral:lncRNA from 1 species
UUAUGCUGAAAGCUAUCAUUCAACAUGGAAGACGACUGAUUGUACAAUUAUAGCAGUUGGUUGGACAGAUCAAUGUAAAAGAACUCUUAUUAAUUUUUCAGUUUAUUGUUCAAAAGGAACGGUAUUCUUAAAAUCUGUAGAUGCUUCAUAUUUGACUAUAUAUGAUUCAGAAUUUGUGAAAUUGGGAUACAAAUUGAUAUUUAGUUAACAAAAUAAUAUGAGGUUAAUUUAGUUAUUCGUGGAAAAUGGAAAAAAAUUAUUAUUCAAUGAAAAUAGAUAAUAAUAUUUUUUAUAGGAUUUGACCCGCUGGUUGAACCACUUACCCGUUGACCCACUACAUUAUCCAGGUCGGGUCUGACAAUUGGAAUCCAUAAAAAUACUUAUGAUUAUUAAUUAAUUAAUCACGCUUUAAGGUUCCUUUAACGGGUCAGGUUAGAUGUCUUUGCGAUCAAAAUUUAUAUUUGUAAGAUAAGGUGUUCAAUUUAAUCAGAAUCUCUAUGCAAUAUCAAUUUGUGAUUUAUAGUUUCAAUUAUGAUCGUAUGAUUUGUUUAAUCACAUUCUUAUUGCAUUAACAGUGGGGAACAGAUAGAAUCAAAUAUUAACUAUCAAUUGCUGAAUCGUAUGGUAGAAUAAGAUCUAUUUAUUUAUCAUUUAAACGCGUCUUCAUUUGUAUUUUUAAUUAAUUAGUGCAGUGAGUAUUCAAUAAAUUAUAGACAUUAUUAUAACUAUAUGGUGUUCGUGCAGGAACGUGACUAAGAAAAAUGUUUCGUUUCAAUUAUUUUCAGCUGAAACCAUGGACUCGUAUGUAUGGCCAAAUCAUUUGAAACUUUAGAUGUGCAGCAGCCUAAGAAAAGUUUUGUUUAUUGAGCUUCGUGAAGCUCCAAGCUAUGGCGUUUCUUUUUGGAAAUGAUAAACAUAGUACCAUACAUUUUUGCACAAAAAAUAUCUUUAUAUUAAUAACGACUUUAGCAUUAAUCGUUCUCACAGUUGUCCGUUUAGAUUACCCUUUUCUUUCUUACAAGAAUCCUGCAGAAAUUUCCCCUACAUACCAUGUAAAAGAUGAUUCAACAAAUUUUGAGCAUCGAAAUGAGAAGUGCGAUAUUUCUAUGGGAGAAUGGAUUCCGAAUCCCGAGGCUCCAUACUACACGAAUACGACGUGUAGGGCAAUACAUGAGCACCAGAACUGCAUGAAAUAUGGAAGGCCGGACGAAGAGUUCAUGAAAUGGAAAUGGAAACCCGAUGGCUGUGAUUUGCCUGUUUUCGACCCGUACGUGUUUCUUGAUAUUGUUAGGGGCAAGUCCAUGGCCUUUGUUGGAGAUUCUUUGGCUAGGAACCAUAUGCAAUCCUUGAUCUGCCUCUUAUCCAGGGUAAAUUCAUAAUUUUAUAUGUAUUUUCAUUUUUACAGUUAAAUAAGUAUGUGCCCUGGAGGCUAUCACAUGUUGAAGAUCAUUCGAUGACAAAUAGCAGGUACGAAUAGAACUGGAUAACAAAUGUAUUGUUUGAUUUCAGGUGGAGAAUCCCAUCGAUGCACAUUUUAAUGGUUCGGAGUAUUUGAGUUACAAUUUCACAAUUGCCCGGUUUUGGUCACCCUUUCUCGUGAAGUCCAAAGAGGAAAACUCUGAUCUUUUCAAUCUCUACCUCGAUGAAUUUGACGAAUCCUGGACAAACUAUAUAGAUAAAUUUGAUUACAUUAUUCUCAGUGCCGGGCAAUGGUUUCGCCGGCCAGCCAUGUAUUACGAGAAUCACCAGCUCGUGGGGUGCAACUAUUGCAAAAUUCCAAAUGUCACUAACUUUUGGAUAACUUAUGGCUACGAGAGGGCGUUCAGAACAGCUUUUAAAGCAAUAAAUACUUUAGGAAACUACAAAGGGAUAACCUUUUUAAGGACUUUUACACCAUCCCACUUUGAAAAUGGGGAGUGGAACGAGGGAGGGAAUUGUAUUAGACAAAGACCAUUUAAAAGAAAUGAGAGUAUUUUGGAAGGUAUGAAUAUGGAUUUUUACAUGAUUCAACUCAAGGAAUUUAGGGUUGCGAAAAUCGAAGGGAAGAAGAAGGGGUCGAGAUUUAGAUUGAUUGAUCCAACACGAGCUAUGCUAUUAAGGCCAGAUGGGCACCCCAGUAAAUAUUGGCGUUGGAUACCUGAGAAUGUGAAUGUGACUGAACUCAAUGAUUGUGUACAUUGGUGCUUGCCUGGGCCUAUUGAUUCGUGGGGUGAUUUCUUGCUUCAUCUGUUGAAGAUGGAUCCCUUGCUUGACCAAAGGGAUGAAUAUUAAAUUAUUGAUUAUAAUUUUCCGUGUAUGUAAUCGUUCUAAACAAAAAAUGAUUUUAUUAUAUAUCUCUAAGAGUAUGUAGUAGUGCGACCAAUAAUUAUUUUUCCAUGGAUAUUGAUUGCAAAAUUGAGGAUCGAGUAGCGGAUUCGGCAACAGCAAGUAGGUCUGGCCCUGUCGCCCUGAGAGUUGAAACAUUGUCGAUUUUGAUUCAAAUUUUAUGUGAUGAAUAUAGCAACGUCAUCUAUAUAGUUUCGUUAGUAACGUUUUCCCUAAGAGAAAUUAGUUGCAGACAAAACUGUUGACAAAAUUACUUAAAAUUGUAAUUUUCUGAAGAGAACUUUGUACUUUUAAAAAAUGAAAUUAUAAAUUUUUUAAGUAACGAACUGAUGGUCCAACCAAUGACCUGAUAACUUAGGGGAGUCUGAUAACUAUCAUGUACGCAUUUGUAUUUAACUUGUAAAAGUGGUCAAUUUGCUAAUUUCUUCCAUUUGCUAUUUUUCUCUCCCCUUAAGAAAGGGGCUUCACAGGCAAAUUCCUUGUAUAAUUACCCUUUCUUAUAUUUUAUUAGUGGAUUCUUUAGAAUUCCAAGGGUGGUCUCGAUUCGAUUAGGAAGAUUUCAAAUCAUAACAUUAAAAGUGGUUUGAAAUUUUUUUAAAUCAAAGUUAAACCACAUUUUUUUAUUUGGUUCAAUUUAAAAUCAUAAUUUAUAGUUAAAGAAAUAAUAAUAUAAAUCGAACAAGUUAAAUCAUAAAUAUCAGUUUAAAAUCUCAUGUCAAAAUAUAGAUAUUAGUAUGAUUACAAAUAUUACAAAUCGAAGUUUUGCACUUCGAAUCAUUACAAUGCAACAACAUGAUAGAAACAUUUUAGUUCUAACCUUUUAGUCGAUAUUAAUUGGUGGAACAUCAACAAUCAAUUCAUUAAAUGCAAAAUGUAUUCUUCUAGAGAAUGCAUAAUCCAAACACCAGUUGAUAUUUAAAUAACUAACACAUCUUUGGUAAUUUGGAAAACAGUCUUGUACUUAUCUACAUUCAAUCUGAUUUUGUGAUUUCGUUGUUCGACCCUAGUUACAAGUGGCACCUCAAAAUCGAGCUUUCUAUUCAAAAAAAAAAAAAUACAAGGGAUUAUUAGUUGUUUUGAUAGAUUGGAGUAUAUUUUUUCGAUUAAACUACAAAAAUAAUUUUCAGUAUUUUAUUUAAAAAAAAAUUGAAAAACCAAAAACGCAAAGUCUAGGCUCCAGCAAUCAUGUAUAGUUAUCGUAUCUUGGCAUCAAAAUGAAAAUCUGCAAUCCUUAAUUCGUUCUCAAUGAUCCUAACGGGCUCGUGAUAAAUAUAAAAAUGAUUCAUUAGUUCAAAUGGUUUCAGGGCAAAUCCAAACGAUUUGAGUUAGGGGGUCAAAAAUAAAAAUUAUAGGUAUCUUCUAAUAAGAAAAAAAAAAGCUAAACAAUUUUAUUUUUUAUUUUUUUCCAAAAUCUAGAGGGUCAAUUGAACCUAUAAACCCCUCCCUAGGUCCACCCCUGGACUUAAGCAUUGUCAAUCACAAUAAAGGUGUGUUGAAGCAUUAUUCUAAAUCGAACUAUGGAAAAUGGCAAUGAAUAUUGAAGACAAUUAUAUUAUUGAUUGAUAAUCUUUACACCCCUAUAAGCCUCUAACUAUAUUGCAAGCAAGGAACAAAAAAAAGCAAACUUCUAAAAAGGGGAAAUAUAAAUUUACCUAGGUCCUGUUCGGUAGUAAUUUUGAGAAUUGAUUUUUUGACUGUUAGAGAGAAAAAUGGAUCCCACUUAUGAGUGAAGAAGUAAAAAAUGAUGAUUGAUUUAGGAAAGUAACAAUCAAAAUAUUAAUUUUUUGGGAAAAAUCAGAACCACAUAUAGAUUGAUAUAAAUCCACGCAUCUCAUAAGUUGAGUAAAGUAAAAUUGUCAACUAUAAUUUAAAAUGGGAUUUUUUUUUCUUUUUUUUUUUUAAAUGAUUUAGGUAGCUUGCAAGUGCUUAUUUUAUACAUGCACCUAUAAAUUUGUUUUUAAUGAAUGUAUUUUAAUGCUUAAAUUACAAUAUGAUGACAUGUUGGACCAUAUUAUUCUUUACGUAUAAACAUCAGAAAACGUAUUUAUAAAUAAGGAUAAAUAGAUGCUAAAAAAAUUGUUAUCAUUUGUGAAUUCUUCAUAAUAUAUGAAUAAAACGUAAUUUAACGAAAAGUAAGAAUCAAGUGUAAUGGGCCAACCAAUGUUAACUGGGCUGACCGUGUGCUCUGAUCGAAUCUGCAGAUGAAAUGAUUUUUCGCAAUUGAUGCCUUUCAAUUUGAUGUCAAUUAUUUGGGGUGCAGUUAUUUUUAGACUUCAUUCACACUUUAAUAUUGCAAUAUUAUUUGAAAUAAAAAUGUUAAUUAGUAAAACUUGAAUAUUUUAUUAAGACUUUGUUUGUCUACCAUUUUUUCACAUUUUACCACAUUAUUUUUUCAACAGUACUCAUUUUCAACCACAUAUUCUUCAUUAAAAUAAUAUUACACGUAAAUCAAAAACUUUUCCUUCUUUUUUAACCACAUAUUUCAAUAUCAAUCACUAUUCCAUAAUACAUUACUUUCAAAUAAUGGAACGCAAACAAGCACUAAAAUGGUGCAUGAGGUGCACCUUCCACAUGAUUUUUCGUUUGACAAGUUGGCUAUCCAAACAAGAAAAUGCAGAAUAAUUUUUCCCUUGCGUGUUCAACAUCAUUGCCAACAAAACAAAUUUCAUUUUCUUGUAUUUCUUAGUUAGUUCUCCCUUACUUUUCACGAUAUUUGUCUAUGUCUAAUUAUCAAACAAAGAAAAGGCCAAAGAAGCACGUGGGUUAAGCAUACCCCAAUUACAAGGGAAUUUUGAUGUGAUAAACAGUUCCAAUACAAACAACUAUGAGUUGCCAAUUGGCGUUGGAACCAGCUCAUGACCACCCAAAUUCAAGCAAAUAGCCAAGAGAGUAUCAUGCAAAUUCAAGGAUAUCUUUUUCCAAGUUUACCUGUAAUAAUAUUCCAUUCCUGGCAUUGCAAUUCAAAUUAAGUUUAUAAAUUUGUUUAAAUGCAAUUACACUUCUGAUUGUAUUGUAUAUAACAAGAUUCAUAUAAAAACAUUAAGAAUAAAAUAUUGUAAAAAAGGAAAAAUACACCAUCACAUAGUCAAAUCUACAUGUAUACAAAUGUGUAAUGUCGUAUAAGCAACAAAAAUACAGAAAUAAUUUAGAGAAUCUUCAUAAUGGAGGUGUUUUUGCCUUCUUUUGUAAGGUACGAAUAUAUAAAGAUAAAAAGAUGGCAAUUCCAAACUAAACACCAGAGUUCAAAAUGAAGAGUAAAGAAGAACUACUUCCCAGUGGGAAGGACAUUUUGUUCAAGAGCUUAUUCUUCCCAAUCCUAGGGUUGGUUCUUAUCACUGCUCUCUAUUUCUACUUACCACACAAUUUAUCAUCCCUAAUGAGUGAUCUAGACAUGAGGUCCAAUGAUUCGGUGUCCCUGAACAUGAAUAGCACUACAGCCACAGCCCUUCAUCCUUCCAGUAACGAUUCAUCAUCAGUAACCUCAGAACAGAAAUGUAAUAUAUUCCAAGGAGACUGGAUUCCAUUUCCAGAGGGACCCUAUUACACUAAUGAAACUAAAUGUGUGAUAGAUGAUAGACAGAACUGUAUGAAGUUUGGUAGACCAGAUUCCGACUUCAUGAAAUGGAGGUGGAAGCCAAGUGAAUGCGAGUUACCUCUCUUCGAUGCCAAGAGGUUCUUGGAACUUGUCAGAGGUAAGACAUUGGCUUUUGUUGGCGACUCCCUGGCAAGAAAUCAAAUGCAGUCCUUGGUGUGCCUCUUAGCUAGUGUAAGUCCUUUAUCUACAAAAAUCAGUAUACAUGUACCUAUACACAAACACAAACACAAGCAUACACAUAUUUUUUAGUGAGUGUAGAAUCUCUACAUGUAUAUGUGUAGUUGCUUGAACCUACACACAUAUCUUGGCUAUGACUGCAAUUUCAAUAUUUGUUCUCUGCCUAAUUCCUGAGAUCCUAGGCAGCCAACCCUGUGGAUGUUUCCACCACGACAGACACAAGAUUCAGGCGGUGGCUCUAUACUGAGUACAACUUCACAUUAGCUGCAUUCUGGUCUCCUCACCUGGUUAGAACACAAGAUUAUGGUCCUGAGGGCUAUAAUGCAAGUCAUCUGAAGCUUUAUCUUGAUGAGGCUGAUGAAGCCUGGGCAAAGCAGACUGAAAAUGUUGAUAUUUUUACAAUCUCGGCAUCCCAAUGGUUUUUCCGACCAUUUAUCGGCUAUGAAAAAGGUCAAAUUGUUGGAUGCCAUAUGUGCAGCGAGAGAAAUAUCAGAAACUUUUCAACUUCCUACGGAUACAAAAUGGCUUUCCGGACAGCUUUCAGGACAUUUCUGAGCCUUGAAAACUAUAAUAACAAACUUGUGUUUCUAAGAACAUUCUCUCCAGCGCACUUUGAGAAUGGGGACUGGGACAAAGGAGGAAGUUGUGAGAGAACAAAACCAUUUAAAAAGCAGGAAAUGAAGUUAGAGAAGUAUGUCUUGGAUCUUUACAUGACUCAGGUGGAAGAGUUUAAGGAAGUCCAAAAAGAAGGGGAAAAGAAGGGCUUGAGGUUCAGAUUGUUAGAUACUACUCGAGCCAUGGUUCUGAGGCCAGAUGGGCAUCCCAACCACUAUGGGCACUGGCCACAAGAGAAUAAGACACUGGCUGACUGUGUCCACUGGUGUUUGCCAGGCCCUGUUGACACUUGGAAUGAAUUUUUACUACAUAUCUUACAUACUGAAGAGCCAAAUUUGGCUGGCAAAAAGCUAAAGAAAAAUGAGUGAGAAAAUUAUAAGGGCAUUUAUGACGCACACAGAGAAAAGAGCCUGAUAUUCAUCUCUACAGUGACUAUCUCAAGAAUGAAAACCAUACAUCGCAGUUACUUCAAAAGCCUCAAUUGCUGCUACAUCAAGCAAUAAGUUGCAUUAUGCUCUUGUGAUUUUACAACAUUCUUGAAGUUAAUGUUUAUGAUACCACAAGAGGAGACAAAAGAGACCUAAAGAUAGCUAUUUUCCCUACCACCAAAAAGUAUGUAAUUACAGCUAUUACAAUUGUCAGAAGUAACUUCAUUCAGCUUAGAGCCUAUAAUUCCAUAUCAAACACAGACCAAUCAAUCCCUCGAGUCAUAUUAGAUCAACAUGCAUUAGCAAAGGAACAUGACAUAUCAUAUGAAUUAUGAACAAAAUAAUUUAAGAUUAAUUUCCACACUUGAAUCUAUGUAGGAUUAUCCAGCUGCCAUAAAAUCUUCCUUUUCGCAUUUGAAUUCGAUUCAAGUGGUACUACUUGAGAAAAGAGCGCCUAGAGUUGUUGAUCCCGAUCAGAUAAAAGUCAUGAACUUAUCAACAACCCCACCCCCUGAACCACAAGAGAGAGAGAGAGAGGGGGGAUGUAGGUUAUGAGAGUGCUCAAAGAAGAAUUGAUGGACAUUAACAAAAGGAUAAAAAGGCCACAAAGGUGGGACAAAAGAACCUUCAAGCCAUCAUAUUUCAAACUUGCUCCGUCUUAUUGUUCUGCAGUUCUGCUUGGCCAUUUUUUCCUUUAUCCCACUCUUAUGUUUUGAAACGAAACCAGGCUUCUAAUGCCAAUUGCCAAGUAACUUAACAUAGUAGCAGAAUCAUAAAAUUGCAGGGGUGCGAAAAACGAGGGAAAAAUAAUUAUAUAGCUAGAGUGCACAUCAAAAGAAAAGUUUCAUCCCCUUUGUUAAAUUGAGCCAAUAGUUUGACUAAGCACGCCAUGAGUUUUUGUACAAUCAGGAGUAGAAUAUAUACAUAAGAAUGUAUUGACAUCAAAACCAGAAAUGAGACCAACAAUAAAGAGAAAUUUGGUAUGAGGGAGGGCAUUUAGAAUGAAAUUUUAAUGAAUACCAAUACAUGCAGAGCUAAAAUGUAAAGCACAAAAGCCGACCUGAGUAGCAUCAACCUCUGCAAACUGUCAUUUCGACCAGCUAUAUGGAAAGGAAGCUUGUGGUCAGGAUCAACAGUGUAAUUAGAAGAAACAGGUCCACUGUCAGAGCUGCUUCUUCCAAACCUAUUCCUUGCUGUAUUCAGAUCUGUGUUACUCGUCUGGAUUCUUUUCCACAGUCCAUUUAAUCUUUCAAACUCAAUCUCCCUCAGAUGAAUUUCACUGAUAAGGCCUUCUGCUUGAGCCUGAAAUGCAAAGAAGAAAAAGAGAAACUAGUAUAGUAAUUUAAUUUUCUACCAGAUGUCACUUUAAAGAACACAAAUGGAUAACAUCAUUACAGGAGUUGCCAAAAGAAAAGCUUAUUACAUCAUUUAUAUUUAGAUAAAAAAAAAAUUCUAACCUGCUUUGCUGCAAGUUGUUCAAUUAGGCUGUGAAGCUGUUUAUCCAAAGCCUUCUCUCGCUGAGCUGCAUGGAAUUGCAUCAAAUUUAAAGCACGCCGAAUAUAUCAAAAAUGAUACGUGCUAAGAUUCCAACUUAAAAUGGAAGUAAAUGGGGCAUGUCCAAAGCAGAUAUAUGCUCGUCAAUUUAGCAUGCUACAUGCUAGGAGUUGAAUACUUGCAAUCCACAUUCCAUGCUACAUAAAAGAUGAAAAAUUAUACCAGGAGUUGGUUGCUUCAAUGCAUUAGCUUGAACCUCCGCCCACUUUUUCUCCAUGUCUUGAACAAUUUCUUCCAUCAAAGCCUAAGAAGAAACAAAAGAUCCAUCAGUUUAAAUUCACUUCAUACAUAUAUGGUGAAUCAGACAAUGAAUCACUCAACGGACCAGUUCUUUUUUCUUCAUCUCUAACUUCUCCAACAAUGAUAGUCUAGGAGCUUCUGCGUCGUCUAGAGAUUCAAUGACUGAUUUGGAUUCAAUAAACAGUUCAUUUGAUUCACCAGGCUGACUUGCAGUCACUACAGCUUUUGCUUGUUCCAGCUCUGCUAUUAAGUUCUCUUCAAUCAAGUCCAUUUCCUGGAAGACAAAAACUAUUAACAUAUAAAUUUGAUAAUGAAGAAAUUUUAGGAUAAAGUAACUAAUUUAAAGAUAAAUCAUAAGGCCAAAACAACUACAAGUUGACUUCAAUUAGAAAGUUUUCAAACACAAAGACGUGAAAAUGUAGAUUUGCAUAAUAUCUGGAUCCACACAUUGUCUUGACUCACCAGCAUGGACAUGCUCUAUAACAAGACAAUCUGGAGUUAACUUAGGUUGUUUUUUUCAUUUUUAUUUGCUAUAAACUAGUGUAAAUGCAUGGGCGUAUGAAGCAGGGAAAUCAUUUAAGCGCAUAUGAAGGAGCUCGUGAAUUUCAAGAAAUAGGCAAAAAAAACUCAUUGAUUCACACAGAAUACCGAGAAUUUAAACUCGUUCAUUCACGUAGAACAAUGAGAAGCCAGAAAUAAAAAAACUUAAUUUUUUAUUCAAUAAUUCACCCUUCUAAAAGACCAUAGUGGUACCAUUUAUACAAUUCAAAAUGUAGCCUAAUCUGAUCCUAAAAUGAAAAAGUAGAAUCCUAAAUAAAGAAAAUUAUCAAAAGCAACUUGUUUAUUAUCAUAGAAUCCUAGAGGGAAGAAAAAAAAUCCUAUAAAAAAUGAAAAUUACCAGAAACAACUAAUGUAGUGGUUUACUUCCUCUUAGCUGCGUCAAUAGCAAGAAAACUAACUUAUCAGAUAGAUAAUACAAGAAAUAGGACCACAUAUUAAUACACAAAUAAUGCACCGUUUGCAAAAAAAUGUGAAAUGAUUUUUUUCUACACUCAGAUGAAGAAAUAAAGAGGAAUCAUAAAGUAAGGCCAUGGGUAAAUUAAUAUAACAACUUCCAUUCUUUUAAAAAAUGCUGACUGUCAGGUAAUGUUAAUGUUAACUCGAAAAGGAUAUAAGUAUCUCAUGUAGGGCCUUUCUAGCAGCGAGUCAUUUCUGGUAGUAGUUAGAAUUAGAAAGCAAAACAAAUAUAAUCAUGUUGACAGCAAAUGAUAACUAAUAUUACAACAGAAAAAGUGUGUUGAAAAACCUCCCAUAGCAUAUUAUAAUAAAAUCACUGAGAACUCUUGAAGAUGUGAACCUAAGCAAUUUUUCACACACCACAAGAUAAUUCUGUUUUUGGCAUUUUCAUGAGGCAAGUGGCAUAGGCAAGCCACAGAUGUAACAGUAUUGUGGUCAAACAAGGAAGUGAAGUUCUAAAUGUGAAUAGAAAUCACCUGAUGAUUGAAAUAUUCAAACUUUACUAGGAUUGACGAGUAGAAAAUAUUGCAGUCAUUUCUAGUUUUAUUUACCUUAUUUUUGCAGUAACCAUGAAAGAGUCAAAUCUUCUUUCACUCUCUUUUGCCACCUAAAGUCAUUGAAGCACAAAAGUUUUGACCUCUCAAAGGGAAACCCUAGAACAUGAGAAGCAAAUUGUGAUCUCGUGUCAUAGUUCAUACCUAUCAAAUUGAACACUAUCUGAACACAAAAUCUGCCUUAAUCACUUCUUUUAGACCUUGAUACGAUAUUUACUACUGCAUAUGUAAACAGCUUCAUUUCAACUUUUCCCACAGUUGUCCUAUAUCGGACCAGGUGAUGAUUGAAUAAAUCUUGAGUUGCAAAACAUUUUUGAUGGUAAUGAGAUGAAAAUUAUUUGGUCAAAUUGUAAUAGUGGAAUCCUAUUGCUUAGAAACCAAUGCUUAAAAAGUGAAAUCGAGAAUAAGGCAUUUUACCUUAAGUGAGAUGAGGCAUAAACCUCAAGGUCUAUACCAAAUAAAAGUCAUAAAACUAUUGAAAUGCAAAAUAAGAGCAUACCAAACCAUAAACAAUCUUCAAAUCCACAACAUAACAAUUUAAGUAUGCAAACAAUGAAAAGAAAAAUAUAUAAAGUAACAAAAAAAGAAACCUUUAGUUAGUGACUAGUGGAGUAUUCUCGAAGCGAGUCUAUAAGAAACAUAACCUUUUGAUGUUAUAAUAGUGAUAGUGGGCUACUCCCAAAGUUGGUCAAUAAGAAUUUUAAAUUUUUUUGCGAGCCCGUCCAUAAAGCGAAGUAAAGAGCGUAAAAUAUUAAGUAGCGCACACCUCCAAAAACUGCCUCAGAAUUAGCGCCUCGACGCAUUCUUUGUUCACCUCCCUUUGAGGUGGGCGUCAAGGUGAGCCUCAAUUGGGUUAUUUUAAACCAUGUACAAAAAUAUUGGUGAAUUUAUUGAAUGUCGUCCUCGUGUGUGGAGGAACUAAUAGGAAUAUGUAGAGUUCAAAGAUUAAAAGUCAACAACAAUAGCUCUCUAAGCCUCUGUCCUCAAUUUAGUUGUUGACGCUGAUGUAACCAGAUCAUCAUUAUCCCUAUAGAGUUGAAGUCCAGUCUAGCUCAUGUCCCAAUAUCGUUCAUCAAAGGCAGGAUGAAGGGAACCAAGAAUCAGACUAAAAGCAACUAUAUUAGAAUUAAAUCAAGUUUAUGGGUUAGGAAGAAAUUUUAAUUAACAUUAUUAAUCUAUUAUAUCUAAGUUACAGUUGUAUGGGCAAAAAUGAAGCAUAAUAUAAAAUGACAAGAAAUAUACAUCCACAUUAUAUAGGAGUUUAUCUUCUUUUCGUCAUGGAAUUACUUCAAAUUUUGCUUUUGAAAGAGCUCAUGAGAACUUGUACAGAUAACAAAGUAAAGAUUGAUUAUGCAGAAAAGAAGUAUUUUACACUACACACUGUUACAGAUAUUGGUGAAUCAGCAGAGCAACUAAAAGGAAAAACAAUAUUUCUGAAAACUCGCAAAAUCUGUAAAGCUUUGGAAACACCUCUAACCUUCAAUUUACUUUGAAGUGCAUCUGCUUCCUGCAACUUCUCCUGUAUUUUAUUUUCACAACUGGAUAUAGCAUUUUCAUACUCAGUGUUUUCUUCCUGCAACCUAACUUCUCUUUGCUGUACCUGAGAGAAUAAUUAUAACUAACAAUCAGUUUUGCACAUCCACGAACCAAAAAGUAACUUAAGGAGGGUAUUCCGAAGAAAAAUCCCAUUGUACAAUAAUGAAUCAUUUCAUUAAGUAGUGAGGGAGAAAAAAUGGAAAAAGAAACCAAACCACAAAAAGAAGUUCGUGAAUCACAGUUUUGAAUAUGCUGAAAAUUACUGCAUUGCAAUACUUGGCAUUAUGCUACGAGCUUCGAUACCUUCUCGAAUUAUUUAAAUUCGUUUGAUUUUCACCUUUUCUGCCCCUGAUUAAGUUGAUUUUCAAUUUGAAACGUACUUUAGAAUUGUGGAAAUACAAGCACCAACACAAGAAAAAGAUCAAUUUCCCAAAACCUUAGGGUUAUGUCUAACUACUACGUCGUGUUAGCAAAUUGUAAGAAGUAAGAACCAUCCACGCCAAAAUUCUCACAAAUGUAUAGGAACGAAAUUUUAUUAAAUACACCAAUACCCAGAGGAAUGAGACUAUUUUUUUUGUAAUAAAAUCAGGAGGGUUGAAGGAAGGACCUGUUGUUUAGUAGUGGAGUGGGCAUUAAGUUGGAGAGCGAGGGCGGCAUUGGAGGCCAGAGAGUGCGCGUGGAGGUGUGGCAGGCGUUGCGAGAUGUCCGGAGGAGGCAAUCUCUGCCGUAGAUCUUGGAUCGAACGAUUUAAAGAAGCAGCCUUCCGAUCCAGUUCUUGAACGUAUGUCUGUUGUUCGGGGGUGAAAAUUAGUGGAAUAGAAUCUGGGUAGUUUUCUUCGUCGGUCCUCCCUCCGCCAUUGCCUCCCACCACGUCCGCCGCCCAUGCUAGUAGCCCCGCCAUCUUCUUUCCCGGAGAUGAUUUUUGGGAUCGUUUGUCUGAGCUCAAAAAACGGGUUUGCUGAAAGGGUAAAUAUCCACUCACAAAUUUAUUUAUUUAUUUAUUUUUAUAUUUUUUGUAUACCACAUUUUAAUCCUCCUUUACAUUAAAAGAGGGAAUGGCUGCAUCACUAUUCACCUCGGGAUAGAGGUUUCACACAUAUCUGAUUUUGUACUGUAAGUGAACCUGUUAUACAUUAUUCAUACAAAAAAAAUUCCUGGAGAGAAUGAUGAAAUUUGAUUGCAUUAAUUGUUGCUACAUUUGUUGACUAUUCAUGCAAAAAAAAUAAUAAUAAAAAUUUAAAAAAAAAAAAAUAUAUAUAUAUAUAUAUAUAUAUCUUUGGCGACAAUAAUGAAAUUUGAUUGCAUUAACUGUUGCUGCUUUUGUUGACUUUAUUCAACCAUCUAAUGUCGGUUACUGUAGCUUAAUUUCAAAAAUAUCUUCUGACUUCGUUGAAUGCUGUACCUUUCAAAAAUGAAAUAAUAUAAAUGCGAAAAUUGUUCUGUAUUAUUACUUUCUUGUAAAUCUUCUUCCAACAAAGUUAAGACACUAUUUCGCUCUCUCAAACGGAAGGACAAGAAAUCUGCAAGUAAAUUAAAUAUAUAUAUAUAUAUUUUGUCUUCUUAGUCAUUUCUUUAUAAUCAGUUUGGGUUUCACACAUGUAAUAGGUUAUUUUUUCUUAAUUGUGUUUAUUCAGUAUACUAACAUUUUAUCUUAGUUUUCUGAUGUCAUUUUAACAAUAUUUUGACACAUACUAAUGAGGCCGAUAUGCAUGUACUGAAGAAAAAAAAGUAUGAAAUAUCUACGAUUAAUUACAAUUUCCUCAAAAUAAAUAAUACAGAUAUAAAUUGACGGGUUAUAUAUCAAAUUCAUUAUAUAUUGUUUGAAUUUUAAUUAUAUAAAUUUAUUUAUUUUGUUCGAAAGUAUUGGAAUGAUUAUUAUAUAAUUUUGUUCUUGUAUGUCAACACAGAAAUUUUUUUUUAUUCAUUCAUCUAAUUGACUUUACUUAUUUUUAUAAUUAUAUAUUGUUUUUUUAAUAUUAUUUUUCUCCAUUGUUGAAAGCUUUUCCACAUAUGUUUGAUUAUCAUUAAUAUUUAUAUCUUUAUGUAAUUAAUGUUAUAUAAUUAUUAUAGUGUUAGAAAAUUUGAACAGUUUAAUGUCUUUAAGAGUUUAUUGUAACUAAUUAAUUUAGUCUUCGUUUGUGAAUAGUUUAAUAUAUUUGCUAAUAAUGUUCUUCAAUUUUUUUACAUCAUGCUCCUUUCAUUGUAGUUGAAAUCUAUAAUAAUUAUUUUCCUAUUAUAAUGGAUAUUUUGGAAACGUUUAUUGAUGAAGACCGUGUUAUUAUUAACUUUGACAUUGCGUCCGAAAGUAGAAAUGAGUCACAUAGAGCGUUCAUUCGUAACAACGAGUUCAAAAGGAGAAAGAGAGACGAAAAAAACUUAGAAAUAAUUGCAGUGAUUAUCAUAAAAGGAAAAGUGAUCCUAUGUUAUCUGAAAAGAAUGAUUUUAUCGAUCGCCACUUAGAUGAAUCUAUAAUGCAUCAACAUCCUUACGCUUCAACUUUAGAUCAAGAAAUGCAUAAUAUUGUCAGUUUUGAAUUAAGAGAAACUUUCAAAAGAUUGAACAUACCAUCUACUGCAUAUGUAUUACCAACAUUAAGCUACUGUAAAUAUUGUAAUGCAUGCAAAUUUUAUUGAGAAAGUAAAGGUUUUUGUUGUUCUGAUGGAAAAGUUAAACUCUUUAUAUGUGACUCACCAGUUGAAUUAUAUAAUUUAUUUACUUCUAAAGAACUACAGUGUACGAAAUUUAAAAAAAUUGUAAGGGGAUAUAAUAAUCAUUUUACUUUCACUUCAUUUAGUGUGAAGUACGAUAAGGAACUUUUUAAAAUGUAUAAAGGUAUCUAUACAUUUAGAGUUCAAGGACAAAUACAUCAUUAUGUAAGUGACCUUUUGCUGAAAAAUAAUACACCUUCUUAUAUGAAAUUAUAUUUUUACGAUACAGAAAAUGAAGUUCAAAAUCGUAUGAUCAUUUCAUCAAACUUUGUUGAAUCUACUUUAAUUGCUUUAAUUGAAAUCUUAAAAACAAAUCCAUAUUGUAAAUUUCUUAGGUCGUUAAGUGAUGUCACUAACUUGCAUGAUCAUCAAAUACAAAUACGAUGCGAUCCAGGAUUUGAUCAAAGAGUUUUCAAUACUCCUACAACAUUUCAAGUAGCUGCUAUAUGAGUCGAAAAUAAUGAAAAUACUAAUGUUCGUACUCGUGACAUUUCUAUAUACAGCCAUUCUGACGAUUCACACAAAGUUCAUUACUAUUAUGGGUGUUAUGAUCAAUUGCAAUAUUCGUUACUAUUUUCGUAUGGGAAAUCUGGUUGGCAUGAAGGCAUUGAGAGAUGCAGAAGUAUAUACUUUCAGCCUCAACAUAUGUUGAUAUCUGAUGUUAUUCUUAACACAGCUACAUCUGCAACUGAAAUUAUCGAAAAAGAGAAUGAAGGUUUGCAAAUAUAUCUUCUAUUAGAGUUCUCUAUAUUUUUUUAGUGUCUUAUUUUAUCAAUAAAUGUUGAAUUUAGUUUGUAUUUGGGUUCUGUAGGGCUCAGUGAAGUGAAGAAACGUACUCAGGUAUCUUGUCGAGAAUACUAUUCAUAUAAAUUACAAAUUAGGCCUUCUGGUAAAUCUGUGUUACUUCACGCUGGUAGAUUAUUUCAACAAUAUGUUGUAGAUAUGCACGUUAAGAUUGAAACUUUCAGGUUAGACUAUUUUCGUGAUAAUCAGAAACAAAUUCGUGUUGAAUUUUACCAAGGUAUUGUAGAUAGUGUAAAAAAUGGGGAAACUAGAGGAUGUAAAGUUGGAAGAAAAUUUGUUUUACCACAAUCUUUUACAUGUGGGCCUCGUGAUAUGCUAAGAAGAUAUAUGGAUAGAAUGACCAUUGUACAAUGUUAUGGAAAAUCGGAUAUAUUUUUAACUUUAACAUGUAAUCCAAAUUGGCUAGAGAUUAAACAAGAACUAAAGAACAAUAACGAAGUUCAAAAUCGACCUGAUUUAAUUGUUCGUAUAUUUAGAGCAAAAUUAGAAGAAUUGAAACGUGAUUUAUAUAAAGCAAGUAUUUUAGGGCCUGUUAUUGCAUAUAUAUGUGUGAUUGAAUUUCAAAAAAGAAAACUUCCUCAUGCUCAUAUGUUGUUAAUAUUUAACUCUAAAAAUAAAAUCAUUUGUGCUGAAGAAGUUGAUAGAAUUGUGUUAUGUGAAAUUCCUGACAAAACGAAAUACCUUCAUCUUUAUUCUGUUAUUGUUAGACACAAUAUGCAUGGUCCUUGUGGAAACUUGAAUCCGAAAAAUACAUGCAUAGAGGGAAAUAAAAGUUCUAAAAAUAAAUACCCUGGAGAUUUUUGUAAUAUUACUUUAUUUGGUCAGGAUUCAUAUCCGUUGUAUAAGCGUCGUGAUACUAAUAUUUCUGUUCAAGUUAGAGGCAAAAUGUUAGACAAUCGAUGGGUUGUACCAUACAAUCCUUAUUUAAGUGCAAAAUUUGACUGUCAUAUUAAUGUCGAAGUAUGUUCUUCUAUCAAAGCUGUCAAAUAUUUGUACAAGUAUGUUUACAAAGGACAUGAUCGUAUUAAUUUUUCAGUUCACACGAAUGAAAUAGAGAAAGAAAUAGAUGAAAUUUCUGCUUAUCAAUCUGAUAGAUGGAUAUCUCCACCAGAAGCUAUGUGGAGGAUUUUCUCGUUCAAUCUAUCAGAAAUUUGUCCGACAGUCUAUUCUUUACAGCUUCAUAUCGAAAAUCAUCAGUAAGUAAUGUACGACAAUGAAGAUAAUUUAUAUACUGUUGUUCAUAAUGAAGAUACAAGAAAAACAAUGCUAACAAAAUUCUUUCGAAUGAAUGAAGAAAAUGAGUUUGCGCAUACACUUUUGUACCGGGAUUUUUCAACACAUUUCGUUUGGAAUACGAACAAGAAAGUUUGGACUCGCAGAAAGAAACAGGUUGUUAUAGGACGAAUUGUUACAGUAAAUUCAUCUGAAGGAGAACGAUAUUAUCUUCGUGUUCUUAUGAAUCAUAUUCGAGGUCCAACAUCAUUUCAAGAUUUAUGAAUUUACUGUUGUCACGUAUCGAGAAGCAGCACUUCUACAUAAUUUAUUGAGUGAAGAUAACCACUGUGAAGAAUGUCUAUUUGAAGUUAUUAUUUAUGAAAUGCCUAUUUGUUUAAGAUACCUUUUUGCUACUCUUCUUGUGCUCUGCAACCCUAAUAAUUCAAAGUUAUUGUGGAAUAAAUUCAAAACUUAUAUAAUUGAUGAUUAUGUAUAUAGAAAUAUACCUUCACAUGUUGUUGAACUACGAGCUCUAGAGGAUAUUAACUAUAUUUUAGAAUCCUAAGGCAAAAAGAUAAGCGACUAUAAAAUUGUACCAUUCAAUGUAGAUAUAAAUGAGAAUGAUAAAUUAAGAAGAAUGGUUGAAGAUGAAACAACAAAUUUGAAUCUCGAAGGAGGCCACGUUUGUGCAUCAAGCUUAAAUGACAAAUAACAAUUUGCAUAUGAUACAAUUAUGGAAAAAAUAACAUCGGGAUCAAGUGUUACUUUUUUCAUUGAUGGUCCUGGCGGCACAUGUAAAACCUAUUUAUAUAAAGUAUUACUAACUGCCGUAAAUUCUCAAAAUUCUAUUGCUUUGGCAACUGCAUCUUCGGGGGUAUUAGCAUCUCUUUUACCUGGAAGUUGAACUGCUCAUUCAAGGUUUAAAAUUCCUUUAGAAAUAAUUGGUGAAGUGAGGUGUUCAGUUAGUAAGCAAUCAGUUUUAGGAAUUUUGUUGAAAAUGUGUAAGUUAAUAAUCUAGGAUGAAGCACCUAUGGUAAAUCGAUAUACUGUUGAAGCUGCAGAUAAAAUGCUAAGAGAUAUUAAUGAUUGCGACUUGUCUUUCGGUGGUAAAGUUAUAGUUCCUGGAGGGAAUUUUCGACAAGUUCUACCAGUAGUACCAAGAGGAAAAAAAUAAGAUAUAAUGAUAGUUAGCUUAGUUUUCUCUUAUCUAUGACCCCUAUUCAUACAUCUGCCAUUAGUUGAAAAUAUGAGGGCGAAGUUUGAUCCUAUUUUCUGUGAUUACUUGUUAAAAAUUGGAAACGGGUCAGGGCAACAUCAUACUUUUAAUUGCAUUCAGCUUCCAAAUGAUAUUAUCGUACCAUUCGAAGGCUAAAUAAAAUCUUUAAAAACUUUGAUCUGUCACAUUUUUCCAAAUAUAAAAGCAUAUGCUGACAAUUUACAUACAAUGACAAAUCGAGUUAUUUACAAUGACAAAUCGAGUUAUUCUUACGCCUAGAAAUGAAUGUGUUGAUCAUAUUAACAAAAUUUUAUUGAAACGGAUUAUUGGUCAAAUUUUUACAUACUAUAGCUUUGAUGAAACAAUCGAUAAAUCAGAACAGAGUUUUGAAGAAGAUUUCUUGAAUAGUUUAACUUCAAAUGGUAUUCCGCUACAUGAAUUGAACCUUAAAAUAAACUGUCCUGUCAUGUUAUUGCGAAAUAUCAAUCCUUCCAAAGGUUUAUGCAAUGGAACACGACUUACUUGUCGAAAAUUUGAGAAAAAUGUAAUUCUUGCUAAAAUUACAUAUGGUGAAUAUUGUGGAAAGUGUGUUUUUUUUACCAAGAAUCCCUUUUAUUCCACUUCAAAGUGAUCAAACUUCGAUUCCAUUUAAAAGAACUCAAUUUUCGAUUAGGCCAUGCUUCGCAAUGACGAUAAACAAAGCUCAAGGACAAACACUUGAUUUCGUUGGUUUAUAUCUUUCGGGGCCAGUUUUUGGUCAUGGUCAAUUGUACGUAGCAUUAUCAAGGGCUAGAACAAGCAAAUCUUUAAAGGUUCUGCUUAACUCAUCAAUUGCUGAAACUUCACACAUCACAUGUACUAAAAACGUAGUGUAUAAGGAAAUUCUUUCAUUCACAAAUCAAUAAAAGAUAUCAUCGAAGCAAUGUAAGUAUCUUAUACUUUUAAUAAUACUUGUACACUUAAUUCUUAAUAUUGCUCUAAAGGUUAUAAUCAAUGUUUUUUUCUACAUUUUCUAUGAAGUUAUUACUAUUGAUGCACAAAUUCGUUGAACACAAGGACGGAGAAAGCUUCAAUAGAGUACAGGCUUUUGUAUAGUACUAUAUAUAUGUUCAAAGAAAGUGACCUUAUAAUUGUGAGCACUUCUGUUUGCGCAUCGUAAGAAAAAAAUAUGCUUUUGUUUUAUAUUUCUUAUACUUGUUUUCUAUUGUAAGACUUAAGAAUAUUAAAAAUAUCAUUGCAGGGAAUGAAUGAAUAUGACAAUGCAAAACAAAUAAAUGAUAGUUUCGAUCAAGGUAUGUGUAUAUGUUAACUACAAUAAAGUGUAUACUACUUCUGUACGGUUACACUAAAAUUAGUUAUGACAACAUACUUGAAAUCUAAUGUAUAGGUGCAGUUGUCUAACUCACUAUCCUUUGUAUUUUUAUAUUGUAGGUGAUCGAGCUAAAUAAGCGGGCCAUUCAACUAAUUGGAAAAACUGUAUGUAUAGUUCUUUCGAACGAAACUAAUGUAAAUAGUCUUGCUUGUUUCCUACUAAUUAUAUAUUCUUUAACUACUUUCUGUAAUUCUUUUUAAAUGAAUAAUUUGGCUUUAUGGGUAAAGUUUUUAUUUCAUUAAAUUGUGGUAUGCAUUAAGCUACUUACAUAUUUCACAACUUAAGCAGACAAGUAAUUAAUAAACUUUUAAUUUAUAGUUGAAUUUCCUUCUUUUUCCUUUUUAGAUUCAGAUUUUCUUUUGUAUGCUAAGUUGUAAUCUUUCAUCUGGUUUCAAUUGUAAAUAGUUCCAUCUGAGCAUUAUAUCAACAACUCCUGCCCUCUUGAAGAUGAAAAAGGUAGGUACUAAUAUAAUUAUGUAAUUUUGAAAUCUUUAAUUAUUUAAUUGUUUCCCAUUCAAUUUCGAUAUCUUAUAGCUAAAAACAUUUUUUACUUUUAUUUUUAUAAUAGCCAUUAUAGACUUGCCGCGUCGAUAUAUUAGGUAGGCAUAUAUUUAGAGAAUUUUUUAUUAGGAUAAUUAACUUAAGGUUACUGUUACGUGUUCGCACACUUGGACAACCCACAGGGCCCACAGCCAACUCAUGUCGAACCACGUGGCACUCAAUCCAAGGUGAUUUGCACAGCCGUGGCCUAUACACCGAGGCCCAUUUAUCAUUGCCCCAUUAGGAUCUUUCGAAGCCCAUAUGCCGAGGUCCUUUGAAGGUGGACGAGGCCUUGUUUGCCGAAGCUAUGUAGCCGAGGUGACAACCUACGAAGCACAAAGCAACUUCUUCCAUAAACACCUCUCCCAAGAGAUCUUCUGCACAAAGAUCUUACUUGAAUGAUUGAUAGUACGUUUGUCAUGAGUGUAAAUGUUAAGUCUUGUUACUAGUAGAGGCGGUUCUGCCAAUCAAUAAAUGUAUAACAGGCUAGGUGCGGCUGAUCAGCCUACAAUUUGACAUGUAAAUUAACCGGGUGAGGCCACGUGUACCCCGAACCGAAGGUCACGAUUUAACUUGUGACACUAUAAAUACUCUCCCAUGUACCCCAUACAAAGGUUAAUGCAAGAAUCAAUACAAGAAAUCAUAAUUUACUCAACUCUCUCUCUUUCUUAUUAUCCUACAACAUAACAAGUUCAUACAUAUUUAGAUAUACAUUUCCAAGUAUCGAUUGGUAAUUAUUGUACAAUCCGUCUACGAUCAUCUCGUCGAAUUUCGAACGUUCUCGUCCCGCGCCGUUGAGCUACUCCCAUGCCCUUGAUCUGUCCGUUUUAGACUGUCCACGUGUCUUUACGUGUAGGACUUUCGCUUACGUGUGCGCGGGUGGGUCCGGUAUCUAUUGGCAACAUUUAUUGGGGUCAACAGGUUACUAAAAUAAAUAUAUCAAACACUUAUAUAGACUACCUAGAUCAAAAGUAAGUAAAUUGUCCUCCUUCUUCCUUUUGUAAUUUUCUUUUAUACAUUUCAUUUAGUCUAAUCAUCUGUUUUAGGAACAGUACAUUUGGCGUACAACUCUCAUUAGAAGAUUUGAGUUUGCUACUGAAGCUAAAUGAUGGUCGGAUGUUCUAUAAAAAAAAUCAUGUAAGUAGCUCUUUUCUUUCUUUUUUAGCAUUUUAGAAUUUUAGAAAUUAUAGUCAUGCCAUUAGUAACUUGAUGGUUACUAAAAUGUAAAUGAACUUUUAGUUGGUGUUUUUCAGUCCUAUAUGACAUAGUAUUCAAUAUUUUUGAACACAUUUAACCAUUUAUCUACCCACAUUUAACCAUUUAACUAUUCUCUUUUUAACAAACACAUUAAAUACAUUAAGACCACGUAAUUGCAACGCAUAAAUACAAUAUAAUUUAAAUCAAUUAAAAUGAACUGUAUUAAAAUUAAAUUUACAUUUACAUUACAUUUGUCACUAACGCCUAUUUACCAACAUUUAUCUACACGUCUAUCUAUCAACAUUUAAAAAAGUAUAUCAAAAUAUGUAUCUACAUUCAAAACAUUAUAUAAAAUUUAUCUACCACAUUCAACCAAUAAUUUGUUUUUUUCAAUUAAUCACAUACAACCAUACACAUUUCAAUUACUAACAUUUACUCAUCAAUAUUUAUUCACUAAUGUCCACCUACGAACAUUAAAAACGCUAUCUACCACAUUUACUCAUUCAAUUAUUUAAUUAUUCUUUUUUUGGCAACUACCACAUACAACCACUUAAAUACUGCAACUGCCAACAUAUACUUACCAAAUAUCUAUAUACUCACACCUAUCCCUAAAGUUAAAAACAGUAUAUAAAAACUAUCUAACCACGUUCAAUCAUUUAAGUAUUCUGUUUUUCACAAGCAUUUCAUUUCUAGAUUUGUUAAGCGUCCAAAACUGAAGUUCACCACCGUAGCAGCCGCCUAAUCAACAGUUGAAAAAGUUAAUCUUUACAAAAAUGUCUAAUGAAAAUAAAUUUAGAAUUUAUUUAUCAUAUAAAAAAUAUGUACUUUAGCCAAUAUAUUACAUUGAAGAAAUUAUGCAACACGAAAAUUGAUUUUUAUAGAAUACUCCUCAAAUCCUUUUCAAUUGAAACUUCACUAACAAAAAAAUGCCUCGCAAAAGCUAUGAAACAAAUGAUAAGCCAACUUCGCAAACUUUAAAAUCAGUGAAUUAGUUUUAUACUUUUGAAUUAGUUGAUUGCUUUUGGAGUGCAAUACUGAACAAUAAAUUUCCUAACAAGAAUAUGUCAACUAAGAAUAGUUUGUUACUUUAGAAACUUAGGAAGUUUCAAUGUAUAAUCUGUCAUCUUGUGUGAACCUUCUUUAUAUUUUUGUAAAAUUAUAUUUUGCAAUUUGGACUACACAAAUACUUCUUCGCUCAAUGACAGAAUUUAUAAAACAUUAAAUAAAAAACAAAACAAAAUUUCAACCAUUAAAUACGUACUCUAUUACUUUGCUAAUGUAUAACAAUUUAUUCAAUUUUACAUAUUCUUUCUAUCUUUAUAAAUUUUAUUUACCAAUUAGUAAUUUUUUAUGCAAUGACUAAAUGUAUAUAAUCUUGAAUACAUUAAAAACACUUCGUUCCAAUGCAUAAAUACUUAAUUAAAUGAAUGAAAAUAAACUAUAUACAAAUUCAAUUUGUAUUUACACAUUCCAACUACUAAUAUUUACUCCUCCCACGUUUGAACUAGCAACAUUUACUCACCCCACGUUUCAACUACCAACAUUUACUCACCAACAUCUAUCCUUCAUCCAUUUAGAUAAACAUUCAAACUACUACUCAUGUUUAACUAUUUUCUUUUUAGCAAACAUUUUGCAAGCUUCCUAUGUGAUCGACUACAGCAAAAAGGUAACAUUCGUGUGAUAAAAAUAAAUUUAAAAUCUAUUUAUGAAUACUAUUAUGUUCUUCAAAUUUUUUGCAAUUCAAGCUUAAAUCUGUGUUGUCGAGUUCUCCUAUGAUAGUUUAAGGUAGCAUACUAAAAUCAUGUUUUACAGUACGACAUGCCCAUAUUAAUUUCUUUCUUUUUUUUUUACCUUAAGAAGACGUCGAAGUGUAUCACUCCGCGCAGCGCGGAGUGGGAAUGCCCACACUCCGCUCUGCGCGAAGUGCGAAGACUCCGCGAUAAAACUGAUCUUCGCCUUUAAAAAAUACUCUCCAACUAUAUUCUAAAUAGGAUCUCAGAUACACUGCUGAUUUGAGUAAAUGAGAUUUAAACAAAAUUUAAUAUUCCUUCUAAAAAAAUUAUUUUAAUCCCUUUUGGAUAUAAAAUUUAGGUUUUUCCAAUUUAUCACUUCAAAAAAAUAAAAAUUCAACAGAAUUAACAUGAUGUAUUUUCUGAGAUCAACUAACACACCUAAUGUGGAAAAUUUCAUUUGUCUAUUAACACUAGAAAAUCUUCUUGUUUAACAAACUAAUUUUUUACUUAACAUAAUCCUCAAUUACAUUAUACCAUUGUUUUUCUGCAUAAUUAACGCAAUUAUUAGAAAGCUUUUGACAAGCAUACAUAUCUUCAUUUUAAUUUAUUAAGAUGAUACACAUUAAUUAAUGACCAUUUUGUCUAAAAAUGAAAAUAAUGAACUCAAUCAAAGUUCUCGUUUUUCUAUAUUUUAUACAUGUUUAUGGUCGAUAACUAUCAUUACUCAUCAUUAUUGACUUAUUCCAAUUUCAUAAAUUCUUGUAUAACAUUUUCUUCAAAUAUAUUGCGUAAUUAUUAAAAUUCACAAAUUUUAUUUAUUUAAACUGUAUAUUAAUCAUAGUGCAAAUUAUAUUAUUUUCAUCUAUAUAUUGGACUAUUAAGUUUCAAAUAUGAAAAUGUGAUAAAGUUUCAUAAAAUUGUAACUAGCUAUCAUUUCUUGACAAUUCUUGACAAUUAGAAACAAUUUUUUGAACAUCAGCAAAAAGACCAACAAGACUACUUCCAGUGCAUACAAUCUAACAUACAAUCUUAUGUGGAUACCAGUUUCGGUUUAACGAAGCCUUACAUUGAUGAACAAAAUCGAAAUAUGCAAAAUCAGUUAUCUGACUGGAAAUCACACAUGGAAACAAUUGUAGCCUCUGUACAAUGAGAUGUGCCUCCUCAUAUAAGUCCAGUUGAAUUCGAAAUCCUUUCAACAUCUGAACAUACAGAAAACGUUGAAAGAUCAACGAAAGAAAAAAAUGUAAGCAGAAACAGACACAAUCUCCAUCAACAACGCCAACUAAUAUUUUAGAAAAUAUAACAUCGACAGAUACAAAAACAUUAGAGAAUGAAUAUCACAAAAUCCAUCAGAGUGAGAUAUUAAAUUUAACCUCGUUAACUUAAAUAUUAUAAUUUGUAUUUUACUUAUUUGACGAUAAUUUAAUUUUUUCUUAUACAACGCAUACUAGAAAGAUGAAAUCGACAAUUUAUACGGAAGACAGUCGCUGAUAAAUAUAAUAAGUCAAACGAAAGAUAUAAAUAUUGUGGUAAGUCAAAUUUAGUAAUCAUAAUUAAUUUUACUCCAUUAUUAAUAUAUCAAAUUUACAUUUUUUUACUAGUAUAUUGAUAUAGAAUUAAAGAUGUUGAGAAGACUUAUUCACGAUGGAUCUCUCCCGCUUUCUAAAGAAUAUGCAAUCAUGGACCUUAAAUUCGAGAAUGAAUGUGUUCAUUGGUAUACAAUUAUAAAAGGAGGAGCUGCCCAUUCUACAAGUAAUUUCAAUGAUUACAACAGUACAUGAAAGGAGAAUUAUCCGUAUUUGCUCGUCCGUGGAUAAAAUACAACUAUUUAUUGAUUCCAUCCGUAUAUCCAGGCAACAUUUGGUUUCUUUUUCUUUUCAACUUUCAAAAGUGGAAAUUUCAUGUAUAUGAUUGCAGCAACAACAUUCAUACACCGGACGCAAUUAAAUUACGUGCAGAACCAGUUUUGACUGUAGUACAAUCGUUAUUGAUAUCUAUAGACAUUUUCUUCGGCAAACCAAGUUUAAGAAAACAUAGAAAUAAACAUAUGAAAUUGGAAAUCAUACCCUAUCUACCUUGUCAAAAUAAUGGGUAAGUAUCUCAACAAUUUACUGUAAUAUUUAAUUUUCUAUUUAAUUUUAUUUUACAUUUACAACAUUGACAUAAACUAACUUCAAAUUAUUUUUUCUAUAGGCCAAAUUCUGGAGUUUUCCUUCUGAAAUACAUUGAAUGCUUCGUUUUCGGAUAUCCAUUAGAAGCAGUUUCACCAAAGAAGAUACGUUUAUACAGACGAAAGAUUGUCACAGAUAUCUGUCACAAUGAAUAUUUUUUACGUCCAUGGUUAUCCUAACCAUAACAAAUUAUGAAAAUUCAGUAAGAUUCAUUUAUCAAAAUUCAAUCUAUAAUCUUAUAUUCAUAACUUCAAAAUUACUUAAAUAUUUCUAUACAUUAGAAUAAAUGUAGGUUCUUCGGUGACAAAUAUGAGACAUUAAAUCUGUUCCAACUUCAGGUUUUACAAAAUGGGAAAUGGAAUGAGGAAAAACCCUCAAUGUUGGUUCCUUCGAACAUAGUCAAUAUCAAACUCGAAGAUUCAGCCUCACCUAACUAUUAUUCUAUUAGUUAAAUGCAUCUGGUACCAGAAGCUAAAGGGACUCAGUAAGCUGGCGAUUCACGUAUACUUUAACAGGAGUUGAUGUAUCUUCAUUUAUUAAUUUUGUACUCUAAAUGUUCAAUUUCAAUAUCUAUUAUAGUGGUUUUGAAUUUGAAGGAGUAAAUGCUUUUGUUGUUUAAGUCUGUAAAAUGGUGCUAAAGUUACUUUUAUCUUGCUGAACGAAGUUUAAUUCUUAAGACAAGGUUAGUGUUGUUUAAUUUAACAUCAACUUCGUUUUUGAAUGUCACUACCCACUUCACCACUAUUUUGUGUAUUUUUGUAAUACAGACAAGCUAAAGAUGUUGUAAAAGUUAUAAAGAAUACCUGGGAAGCAAAGAUUCAAACACACAAUUGUUUACAAUACUGGUAAGUACUUAUAGGGUAUAUAAUUUUUUUGCUUGUUUUGAUGGAUCUCUUUUAGUUGCGGUGGAUUAUAUAUGUCCCCCUGACCACUUGCUUUGAAGCAUUGAUAAGACUUAUUUUUUUAUCGGAUUCACAGCUUCUUGAGAUGUUGAUGAACAAUAUUGGAGAACAUGUUCAUCAUCGGGUUAUAGGCACAGCCACUGAUCGGUAUUCUUCAUAUAUUUGUGAUGAUAGUUAAGAAAAAGGUAGAAAUUAUUUUUCAUAUCUUAUUCUCAGUCAUUUAUUGAUUAAAUUAAUAGAAGUAAUUUUUUUAUCACUGUUCGUACAGCCUGAUAUUUGUGUAAGGGAAAGGAUAUUUCUCUUCUUAGAUGCAACUCAAACAUCUUUGGUGGAAAUUCUUCGGAGGUUUCCUCAAUAUUAUUAUGGUUAUUGUGAAUUAGUGGUAAGUAUAGAGCAAACUAUAUAUUAAUUGCAAGCUUUUAAAAAUUUAAAUCAAAGUCCAUAUUGAGCAAAUGUUGUUUGAGGCUUUGAGCCAUUCUUGUCCUACUCUCUUCUAGAUAUCACUUGUCCAUAUAAUUGAAUUCUGUCAAUCUUGCUUCUCUAGGCAGUGGUGAUUAUAUAAUUGGUUGAUCCUGGUGCUAUUUAUUACUGAAGUGAUUAGGUUUUGAAUCUUCGAAUAUGAUGAAUGUGCAAUUACAGUCUUUUCGUCAGUGUAAAAUACUUUUCCUUGGCUGAUGAAAGGGCUAUUGGCACUGAACUUAUUCUUUAUUUCUUGUUGCAUCAGCUGAUGGUUGUCUCCUUUAGUUCUGAUAUAAGUGGCAAAACAGAAUUUUAAAAUCUGCUCGCUUUCUUCCUAGAAAUGUGACCCAUCAUUCGCGGAAUAUCUUAUUAUUAAUCAAAAGGGGAAACUAGGAUUACACUACUCCAAGGGAUUCAAUUGAGUUCGCCUGUAAAUGUUAGGUCAACAUCCUUCACAUAAGUCAUCACAUUUUUUUAAUUUCAUGUUAAUUUGUUUAAAAAAUAUUUAUUUAUGUGCUCUCUUAUAUUUCCGAGUUAAUUCCAGAUUAAUCUCUCUCUCUCUUUCAGGAUAUUAAAAAAAUUAAGUUGGGCAAUCCAAAAAGUUCCGUUAUUUAAUCAAUCAAAUUGUUACGAGUUAGACGAGCUUGAUGAUUCCAGAGAUUAUAUAGAAACAAAGAAGGCAAUGGAUACCAUGAGAAUAAGUUCAGAGGAACAGGUAUAAAGGACAAUUGUUUCACACUCAAUAAGUGAUUUUUUUUUUUUGCUGACUCUAUUUCAUUUGUAGAUGACAAAAAAAAAAAAGAAAAAAAAAAAAUGAGAAAUCUAAUAUAUCACUAGACGACUAAACCAAAUUAGAGAUAGUGCAAUCUUAUCAUCAUAUAUAUUCUGCCAAAAAAUAAAUUGAGCUAUCUUUAUCAAAUUCUUUUUCUAAAUGUAUAGCAUUAAAAAAAGUAAAAUAUGUACAACAUUCUUUAAUAAACCUUUAGCUUAUUUACCCCUUCGUUCAAAUAAUUGACAUGUAAAUAUUUAACUUUCAACAUUGUACCAAUUAUUAUUUUAAAAAAAUAUUAGAUGUAGUAUAUAAGUGCUAAAUGACGCCUCUUGCUUUUUCUCAAUUUGUGCUUUAUUUCUAGAUCUCCAUUUCCAUCCAACUACAACAUACACUUUCAAAAGGACAACAGAAACAACCAAGAAGAUCCCAAUUUUUACGAAUAUAAAAACAUGUCUUUAUGCAACAGUUUCCUAAUUAAAAACUUGUUCAUUACUCCUCCCACUUUGAACAUAAUUUACUUUAUACAAUUUAUUAACAUUCAAAAAGCUAAUAUCACCCUUCAAAUAAUACAAUCCGUGCAUUGCACGGAGCCUAAACUAGUUACAAUAAAUAUCCUUAAAUUUUUUUAUUUUACAUUUAUGUUCUCAUUUUUUUUUUAAAAAAUGUUUUUAGCAUCAACUCUCUAUUAAUUUUCACAAGUUGUUUAUAAGACAAUUUUCAUCCAAAAUAUGUGUUACGAUGGCCAAAAGAUAUAUUUAUCUCUUGUAUUUUUAAAUAUUCGAAAUAAAUAACUAAUACAAAAGUUAAAAUAUAUAGCACAUUAGUAGAAUAUUUGGGUUGGGAUCAUAUUUACAAAAGAUAUAUUAAUUAAUUAAAUAAAGGUUGAAAAUGAUAAUGCAAUGAGAAAAAAUUAAGGACAUAAAAGUAAAAGUGAACAAAUAUUAAAAACUUUUAUUGUAAUUAAAAGUGUUGCAGAUAUAAAAUAUUGUUAUGGAAAUAAUUAGCCUUUGCUAAAUGAAAAAAUGAAAUUUUAUAUUUUGGAUAAUUAGCAAAAAAAUAUCCUUAUCGUUUGUACUUAUUGCUAAAAUAGCCUUUAUCAUUUUAAAUUUGGCAUUUACACCUUUAUUUCAAACAUUUCUUGCUAAAUUGGUCCUUUCCGUUAACUUCUUCCAUUAAAUAUGUGCAAUUUGGGGCAAAACAUUCCUAUUUUUUGCUUUCAUUGCGCAAAUAGUCCUUUUAUUUUAAUUUUGAUAUUUGGAUACUAAAAUUGACAUUUUUUUGCAUAACAUCUCCUUACCAUCUAUAUUCUCAAUUAUAAUAUUGUAAAAUAACUAAUUUAUCAUCAUCUUUAAUAUAUAUAUAUGGACGGUAAGAACCUUUUAAGUAAAGAAAUGUCGACAUGAGUGUCCAAAUGUCAAAAUUGAAAUGAUUGGAACUAUUGGUGCAAUUAGAGCAAACGAUAGAGACGUUUUGCGUCAAAUUACACAUAUAUUAAUGGAAGGAUUUAACGGAAUAUGACAGAAAUGACCAACUGUGCAAUAAAUGUUUGAAAUGGGGGGUGUAAAUGACAAGUUUGAAAUGAUAUGGAUCAUUUUCGUAACAAAUACAAACGACAGGGAUUUUUUUUCUUUUGUUUGCUAAUUACAAAAUAGUCUUCUUCACCUGCUCAAUUCCCACAACAUUUGCCUGUGUUACGGUUUUCUUCGCGUUCAAUUCUAAUCCCAAAUUCUUAAAAAAUUAUUUUUCACCUUUUCUAUGACUUUUUUCCAACAUUUUAACACGUUCUCUAGUUUAUUUUAAACAUUUCUUUAGUCGAACUGAAGAUGACAAAAAUGGUAUAUAAGAAAGGGGGAAAAAUCUCUUUUGCAUAUUGCAUCGAUAGAGGUUAUGGGUCUUUAUGUUCAACUUUGCCAUUGAACCUUCCUACCAAAUUUAUGAAAACACUAGUAAUGAUCAUCUUAACAUGUACAUUGAACAUAACUUGUUCUUGAUGAAAUACAUUCUAUCCCGUAAUAAAAAUAUGUUAAAAAUUUGAUAAAUUCUAUGUCAAUCAGAGACUCAAUAAAACAUCUACAUAUUAGAACAUUAGAAUCCUUCAUAGAAUAGCAUUUGAUAGUCUAGAAAACAAUUUAGAAUUCUCUGAUCGUACUCAAAGAGAUCAAGAGUUAACAGGAACCAGCCUAUAAGUUAUCUAUAUGUGUAAUUGAAACCGCUUCGCCUUUAUACGGAAGCUGAGAUUCUUUAUAAGAUAUAAUCUAUGCUCAAUCCAAUUUAUUUCUAGGACUAAUAGUUUCUCUUGAUCAUCAAUUAUUUCUCAAGAUUAUAAUUUUGUGCUUAAUUUUAUAUCUACGUUCAUGUAAAAUCUAGUACAAUUUUGGAUGCGAAUUAUGUUUGCAACCAAAAAAAUACACGAAUCUCCUCCAUCAUUCUUAGUAAUAUUUAAAAUCUCAAAACUUCAUAUUUAUCAACAUUUAUGACUUCUAAUUGUGUGGACAUGUUUUAAUAUUCAUGAGAUUGGAUAAUAUAAUGUAUAAGAUUUUCGCCUCUUGUUCUUCACUGGCACUUUUAAGUAGUACACGUCAUGUUUGCACCCCUUGCCUUUUUUCUUGUCUAUCGUCUUCCUCUCUAAAUAAGCCUGCAUUUGAACGUUUAUUGAUUAAUGAGUUUUAUCUUCCGUCAGUCAAUAACACAAAUGUUAGGUUUCCUUUAAUUUGUUCGAAUUUUUAUGUUUGGUACAAAUUAAAAUUUGAUUUUAAUACCAUAAUUUUUGAACCAAAUAUUUCAAAAACUUUUAUCAUAAUCUACUAAAAAAUUGAUAUUAACCCUCACCAAACACCGUCACAUAAGUCUCUAAAAUUAAUAUUCCAAACCAUUUGUGCUGGUUUUACAACCCUAUGCCCGUAACGAUUUUAGGUCAAACUGGUGAAAAUUGGUGUGAAUUAACAAGAGAGGACCUGCUGGACUCUCUGAAUAAAAUGAUUACAAAAUGAAAAAUCUAGUAAAUUGGAAAAAAAACGGCGACUGUAUUGUAGACCCUUCGUCGUCGAAGUGAGUGGAUCACAACUCAGAAGUGAAUUAAUUGGUGUUUUUUGACAAGAAAGAUGGAAGGAGGAGAAGGAGAGGAUCCGCAGAAGUUGAAAAAAAUAGCAGCGGUGGCGUACGACUACGAUAACGACCCACGAUGGGCGGACUACUGGUCUAACAUCCUUAUUCCACCCAAUAUGGCCUCCCGCUCCGAUGUUGUCAACCACUUCAAGCAAAAGUUCUACCAGCGAUACAUUGUACUGCUUUUAAAAUUUCUCUUUUAAUUAGUUUUUAUAGUGUGUGAUAAAUCACCCAUUUUUGUUCUCGGUAGCUAUCUUGUGUGUAGUAAUUUAUGCCUGAACUAGAGAAUCAUUGCUAAAUGAAUCUUUUAUUGGAAUUUUGUUUGUAUAUUGAAUCGAGAUGGUUUUAGGUGAAGAAAUACAAUACAUUUUCUGUUGUUUGGUUUUUGGUAUGAAAUUGUAAUUUAUUUAUAUAUUUAUUAUUAUUAUUUUUUUUUUUGCUUUUUAUUUAGGUGUAAUGACUGUGUAUUUUAUCUGGGUUUAGUUGAUUUUUACAUGGUCGUUACUGAAUCACCAUCAAGAAUAUUUAAGAAUUUGAGAAAAUUUGGCAUUGCAUGAAGGGCAUAUUGUUAAAAUGUAUUUUAGUUUUGUCUGUUCUGCUUGAGUUACUGUGAGAUACCAACAGUGGAUAGUGUCCUCGUGAAUCGUGAGAGUGAAUUUUCUUCUGCUGUUUGUAGUUCAGUGACAUAGUUGGGAUUGUAGACUAUAUGUUUCAAACGAUACAUUUUUAAUUUUAAUGCUCUCCCCAUUUGUGGUGUUUGAAGGGCUAGGAAUACAUGAAACAACACUAUACCAAAUGUUGGAGGGCAUGUGUUUAGAAAUGAGGAUGGUCGUGAUAUUGGCAUGUCUUAAGGAUAAAACUUUUGAGAGUUUCUUCGCUUUCCGUAGUACUUGAAUAGGGGGUUAGGAGUCAGCAAAAGCAUACAAGCAGCACAUUAUCCUUUUUGCUGCAACUUUAUGAGAUCAUUAUUUGUUGCUGAUUUGAUCCUUUUACUCUGCAGGAUCCUAAUUUGAUUGUCGAGCCAAUGAAUACUAACAGUACUUCUCAGCAAUCAAGGCCAUCAGUGCCACCAUCACAAUCUUCGUCAGCUUCUACACAGAAUAAUCACUCCCGCCCAAGGGAUUCUCGUAUAAAAUUUUAUAUUUCACCAUUUACUUUUACAAGAUCAGAAAAUGUUGCUUUGCAUUAUUAUUUCUUUUUCUGGUCAGAUAUGUUUUGUACUUGAACUGCUUGAAUUCAUGUUGUGGGGUCUGCAGGUAGCACAUCAGGGACAUCCGCGGCUCCACCACCAAAUUCCACGUCACUGCGUUGGGAUCGAGAAACCAUUCAAUUUUCUGUCCAUGCUUGGGUAUGCUAAAUUCUGUUCUUUUGUAUUCAUGCAGCAUGUAUUCUGGGGAAGAUAGUCGCAAGAACUUGUUAUUGUUAGGUAGUUUUUACCUCAUAACAUUACCCAUGUCAGAUAACAGUGACUUGUGCCACUACUAUCAUCUAUGUUAUCGUGGCCAUGUAUUUGAUAUUUAUUGGUGUUAAAUUUAUGUACCUGUAGUCUUCAGCUGGAGUGUCUAGUGAAUUUUUGCUUAACAUCUUAGAAUAUGCACUUAAAAUUAUAUUCUAUUUUAUUUUGAUAAUUUUUACACAUCCAGCUCGGGACGAUUCAGUAAUCCUGUAUAUAAGUUGAAUUUUAGUCGAUGUUUGUAUUUGGCUGUUCAAAAACUGUUAAGCUCGCUGAGAAUUUAUCUAAUCUUUGCUUUCUUCAAAAUGUAUCUCAUAAUUGCAUUACGGUUUCCACAUUCCUGAUUGAAUAGUAUUUGGGAGGGAUCAAGCAUCAUGGAAUCAAGGUUACUUGCAAUGUUUAUCGUUUGAAAUGCUGGGUAUGCCUGUUUGUUUGAGUUCGAAAUUAAACAUGAUAUUGUUCAUUUGUGGUUUGAGUUAAGAAACUUGUGACUGUUGCUAUUUUAUUGUUGUGAAGUUAGAAAUUAUUAUUAUUUAAUUUCUUUUCUCCUUUUGGUUGAGGAAAUGUGGGGAGAUGGUGUGAUUUUACCGCUGCUUAGUAGCUUAUUUUUAUAUUCAAAUUAUCGCAGCUUAUUAUUAUUAUUUUUUUUUUCUCUGCAGGUACUUGUUGUGGCGGUUCUUGCUAUCUUUCCUCUCGUGCCUAAGAAUCUGUCAAAUCACGCAUACCGGCUUUCCCUCAUGGGAACUGCAUGUUCUUCUCUGUAUUCUUUGUAUUCAAUAUAUGGGGUAACUCUCAUGUUUAUAGUUUUUGAUUAAAGUUGUGGUGGUGCAUGGAUUUAUUUUCUUACGGCAUCAAUAUACUAGUAAUUGAUCAUUAUUUGCAGAAACCUAGAGCAUGGAACUUGCAGGCUUUGCAAGUUUGGUUUCAGUCGGUGGUGGUUACCAAAGAUUUUAUCUACUCCAUCUACUGCCUUACAUUUGUCUCUUCACAUCUGUGCCUCAAAUGUUAGUGUCACUGCAAUUCUGCUUUAUUAGUUUCUCUACCUUAUUUUCUUAAUGUGCACUGGGCUCUUCCUAUCCAUUGCACAUAAUUUGCUGAUGUUCACUGUUAGCAGUUGCUCUAAUUCCCAUUUUGGGUAGGGCCCUUGAGCACGUUGCAAAGUUUCUGAGGCGCAACUUUAGCAGAUCUACUUUGUAUAGGUAAAGAAGUAUGAAUUUCUUACAUCUGUGGUACUUUGUUAUGUUUUGGUCAUUGAUUUCAUAGAAAGGGAUCAAGUAGAACUUAUAGAAAAAGAACUAUUUAGGUGCACUAUUUGCAUAGCUUAGUUUAUGAGAAAUAAUAAUGACAAAGGUAGUCAGCUUUGUCUGAAAUUGCGAAUUCACAAAUUAGUUCAAGUUGAACUUGUAAUUCAUGCUGUAAAUUUGCAUAUUAUGAACAUGUUGAUGUUGUCAGUAUAUUUUCAAACAGACAAUGCACCUGAAACAAUGGUGUGAAGCGGAAAAACUGAGCCUUGAGAUCUACACUAUUAAGCACAUAUACACAUGUUCAUGCAAUCGGGAAAGAGAAAAGGAGAUGGCGUAGGAGAUAAAAUUGCCAUUGAACCAGCAGGGAAUUAUUUCCGAAGAUGUAGUUUUACAUCUUCUAUUAUCUUCUUGGACAAGUAGAUUGAUGCUGUAUUGUUACUAUAUACGUGUCCCUUUGGUCACAUAUGUAACUUCUUUCUUGGAUUCCUGCAGGAAAUACUUGGAAGAGGCUUGUGUUUGGGUUGAUUCAAACGCAACCCUUGGCAUUCUAUCCUCACAAGUGGAGAUUGGAGUUGGAUUCCUUCUGAUUUUCUCUCUCUUCUCGUCAGUACCUCUACUCAGUUCCCACGUUUAUAAAUAUCUGGAUUUCAUUUUUAUUAAAUAAUUUAUCAUUGUUCAAGAAAAAGAAACGGGAAUUUGUGUAAUUGUUAAAGAUAUAUUCUUCCUUAACUUGUAUUUUAAAAAUGCAGGUGGCAGCGUAAUAUUAUACAGACAUUUAUGUACUGGCAGGUGCGUGUUGCUUCUCAGACUCUAAAAAUAUGAGAGUUUCCAUUUAACGUGACAUUAUUUACGGCCUUAUAAUAUGCAGUGCGGGUGUAAGUGAAGCUUCCCUUUGUUUUCUAGCUAGAUUAUUGAGUCAGUCUCAAUGUUAUUAUUAAUGAUCGAGUUAUAUUGCAUCUUUGGUGCGAACCUAGGAAUCCCUUAGAUAUGAUGCACAAUGGACCUUGUUCUAUCUUUGACCAGAGAUUUCUCUAUGAAUAAUAAAAAUUGCAGUUUGAAGAAGGGAAGGGAGAAGGGUUCCUCGACUCUGCAACAGAUAGAGGAGGAUUUAUUCAAUCAUGAUAGUGCAGUUUAUAUUAUAUGCUUCCUUCAAGAUAUUUGGCUCAGCUUCCCGUAUGAUUUUUCUUAUCCUUAAGAGAGUAAUUAGAACCUUUAGGUCCAGUUAGCCGUUCAAGUUUGGAAUGUAUGAAAUUUGGUUGUCGUGGUUCUGACCAUUCAUAACCUGUCGAAUAGAUUUAUGAUUUCUAUUGUUGUUGAGCCAUUUCUCGUCAUCAAUUUACGGUCUUGUCAAAAAUAUUAUUUGUUCUUUGUUUGAUGAUACUAGCGUUAACAUGGUACUUGAACUUUUUCGUGCAGCUUUUAAAGCUUAUGUAUCAUGCUCCUGCAUCUGCUGCUUACCAUCAAAGUGCAUGGUCUAGGAUUGGUCGGACUGUAGACCCAUUUAUCCAACGCUAUGCUCCAUUCUUGAACUCUCCGAUCUCGGCCGUUCAAAGAUGGUGGUUUAGGUGAGUAAAAAGUUAGAGAGAAGGGGUCGGUGACGGGGUUAACAACAACAAAUGCUGUUAUUUCCCUCCGUGCCUUUGUAACUUGAGAUUGGAAAAGAGGAUACAUGUUUCAUAACUUUAGAUGUAUGGUUAAGCAGCCACUUGACUCGGUUUUAUACUGAUUACUUCUUGCUAAUGUUAAGAGGUGACUUUAAAGCAGUGUCUUUCACUUGGUUAUGAAGUUCUGUUUUACAUUUUCUAUAGUUUAUAGAAAUCUUUAUUUGUUUAACAGUAACAUGUCUCCAUCGUUACUCUGUUAUACAAUAAUUUAAUUUCUAAGCGUCUAUGGUUAAUUUACUUGAGAUAUAUUUUCAUUUACUUAAUGAAUUUGGAUUCAGAACAUGAGUAUUUUUGAGUCUACGUAAAAUAUGUCUUACUUUUCAAAAUUGUUAUUUAUUUAUCUAUUUAUUCUGGACUUGGGUUAACAUAAUCUUCGGUACUUGAAUAACAUAUUUUGUGGGGAAUAUAACGUCUUUUGCUAAACUUGAAUAAAGACUGUUCUAGUAGAGAUCUCUAGGCAGUCGCAAUCAAUUUGUUCUAUGGCCCUGUUUGAGAGCGAUUUUGAGAAUUGAUUUUGUGACUGUUAGGAGAAAAGUGGAGACCACUCGUGAGAGAAAAAGUCAAAUUUUACGGUCGAAAUAGUGAAAUAACAAUCAAAAAAUCAAUUCUUGACGUUGAAAAAUCACUCCUAAACAAGCUCUAUAUGUGACUAUAAUAGGCCAAUAAAUAAAUAAAAUAAAAAUAAAUAAAUAAUGGCCAAUGGUUUCAUAUAAUCCAUACAGGAAGACGUGAUCGUUGAAGGAAAAAGUGGCAAAUUUGUAUACUACACCUUUCCCUAGCAGGUAGACAACUGUCAAAUGUUUGACAAUGUUCUCAAACCUUCCCCACGAGGGAUCUCAUAAGGCAGUCAAAACUUGUACUUCUUGUAGAGAUAGUGUUUAUAAACUAAAUUUUAAAAUAACUUCUUCUUCGAGAUUAACUUUUAGUAAAAGUUAUAGAAAUAUUCUGCGUGUACAAUAGGAUUUACACGUUGACGUACAUCUUUUUGGAUAAUUUUAAUCUUCAUACAAUUUAAUUAUUUUAAUAAUAUUUUACUUUUCAUUUUUCGAUAAAAUUAUUAUCAUUUUUGAAAUUUGUGUUAUUAAUUCUCAAUUAAUUAACAUUAACAUUAAUCUAUAUUCAAUGAAAUUUCACUUGAUGUAUCUUGAAUUACAUGAAUUUAGAAUUAUUAUAAAUGAAUUUAUUCAUAUUCAUAUAUCUAGAAAAUUUUAAUGAGUGUUUAAAUUUAUGUAUUAACGAUUAAUUUUUAUGUAUCAAAUGUAAUAUAAAAAGAUUGCUCGUUUAUAGUAUUUCAUCAUUACAAAAAAAUUUGAAUCAUAGAAAUUAAGUCUUUAGAGUAUAAUUUAAGUACAAUUUACUUCUAUUAAAUUUUUAUGCUAAAUUUUAUCUUUUUUAAUUCGUCCAAGACUAAUCAAAUUUUGCAACAAAUUAGUAUCAAAUAUUACUUUUACAUCAUUUAUAAAUUAUUUUAGAAUAACGUGUAAUGCAUGUUCUACUUUGACUAGUAAUGUUCAAGUAACAUUUUAUUAUUGAUGGAUGUAAAAAUUGUAUUCCAACUCGUCAAUGAUAAAAUGUCACUUGGAUGUAAAAUUUCUUUUGACUUAUGAUAUGGUCAGGUCAUUAUUUGACUAUGAUAAAUUCAAUUAAAAAUAAAAUUAUAUAAUUCAUUUAAUUGUAUAUUUUAUUUAGUAUCAUUCGUAUUUGUAUUAAACAUUAUUCUAUUAUAGUCUAUUCAUCUCGUGGUGUAUGAAUUUGUCAAACGGAGUCGAGGCUAUGACAUUUGUCUUGCAUGUAAAUUAGGCAAAACCCGCCAUUUUCACUGCACCGUUCCGUGUGAUAAGAUUCUUUCUCAAAUCCCAAUAAAAUCUACCUUUUUUCUAAAACCAGCUCCUCGAAUCUUCGGAUUUGUGAUUCUAAGUUAACCCACCGGAAAAUGGCGAUGGAAACAUCGACUUCUUUGCCGGCGACGAUGGAGUCGAGCGAGUCCUUUGAGAAUUUGAAGCAACAAAUGGAAACUGAUGGUUUGAUCAGGGUUUCGAGUUUUCCUCAGCGGAGAACUGUGAAUAAAAAAGCUCGGCCGCGUCGUCAACAGUCUUUUAGCCGUGACAUUGGUCACGCUGCAGCAGAGACCUAUUUGGUCACUGGCCUCAGCUUCAAGCUCCUUGGCUACCUGGGGUACUAUUCUUAGUGCUUUUCUCUUCCUAAUAUUCUUUUGUUUAUUGCACACUUCUAUUGCUCGCGUAAUUUGAAUAUCCUUUUGCUAUGUUAAGCACAAUUGAUUGAGGAAAUAGGGUGCGGGGAGUAGGGAUAUUUGAUUAUGAGCUACCAAUAGUUGAAUCUUUUGAUCAUCUUUGUGGUAUCCAAACAAAAAUCGCUACUCAAAAGUGCACUGGACAAACAUGAUAAUUUGGCUGAAUUUUUUUGUUUUCCAAACAAAAAGGUUAAAAUUUUAGCUGGAGUAUGUUAAUGAAGGUUAGAAUUGACAUGAAAAUACGUUAUGGCAGUGAGCACAAAGCAGACAAGCGAUUUUAUAUUUUAAAUGGAACAUAUUUGGGACGAUGUGUGAUACCAUCUUAUUAAGAAGAAUCAAUAGUACACUGACUGGGUUGUUAAAAUAGAUAUUAGAGUUCUAUUGAGAGAACAAAUAAAGAAUUUUGAGAAAACAUUGUUACUCAUUAUUGAUUGGCUUGUUCAGAUAGAUACUGGAGUGCAAAUUGAGAAAAUAUAAAUGUCUUGCAUAUAACCAAUGUUCAUUUGCUGAUUCUUUAGAUAUUGAGCACAUGAUUCACAACAAUAACAACAAGAAGCUAAGCCUUGUCAUCAAUAAAGGUUUUGAAAGGUUCAACAAAAUCAAAUCAUUUGAAAUUUCUAGAUCUACAGCACACCUAUUCAAGAUUGAUUAAUUCUAAUUUCGGAUAUCAUGAAUUUCUUUGAUCCCAAGCUCAAAAUGGUCAAAUAACAUAGAAGUUGAAACAUGCUCAUUUUAUGUUAUUGCUUUUUUGUCUCAUUGUCAACCUUUACUUUUUACAUACAAGGCUAGUUUCAUUCCUAAUCGUUUCUUUUAUUCAGGUUAGGGUACCGCUGGAUCACACGACUUCUUGCCCUUGCUCUGUAUGCAAUGUUACUUAUGCCAGGUUUCCUCCAAGGUACGUACAAGAUGCAAUUAUGCCUCUUUUGGUACAUGAAAGCUUAGGGGUUAUGCAUAUAUAACAGGUUUAAUAUUGUAUAUAUGUAUUAUGCAGUGUUUCCCAUUUCUUAUCAGGAGAAAGACACUAAGCAAAUUUUGUCCUCGUUAAUGAUUGAAAAGCUCAGGGUUAUUUUAAAAUUUUGACAUAUUUUGGUAAUUCAAUGAACGGUGACACUUGAAAAUACCCAAUCUGUUCAGUAAGCCCAAAGUGUAACCGAGAAAGGUGAAAUUAGGUUAAUUUUUCUGAAAAGAAUCCACGAACAAUCAUGUAACAAUGAGUAGAAAAACUGAACAACAAUAUUUGAAAGUAAUUGUAUCUAUUUCUUUUUUAGAUUUGUGGGUAGGGGUAGGAUAUAUCUCUAUUUUAAUGAUGCUAUUUAUAUUUUUCUGCUGCUUAUUUUAAAUUGAUAUGGUUACUCCUCUAGACAUAUUAACUAAAAUUAUUUUUAUCUGCAAUUUAGAUCUUGCAGAAUACAUAUUUUUGCAGUCAUUCUUUUUAGUAUGCGUAGCAUGAAUUCGAUGCUCUUGUCAUGGAUUCAGCUUCUUUAUCUUGAAUGAUAAGAUCUUUUUAUAUUUGUUAUUUGGUAGUUGCAUUUCAAUAUUUCUUUUCGAGCCAAGUCCGCAGAAGUAUUGUUUAUGGAGAUCAGCCAAGGAAUAGGUACAUUUUUGUGAGGUUGAAGCCUUCGUCUAAUAUUUUUUCACUUUAUUUCCAUCCAAUUUUGACUAUGAUAUAAAAGUAUUUUGCAGGUUGGAUUUAUAUUUACCAUCAAAUGAAGAUGGCCUGAAACCUGUGGUCGCAUUUGUAACUGGAGGGGCUUGGAUUAUUGGGUGAGUAAGCCAGAGGUUAUCACCUUUAACUUAUUUUCAUCCACCUGUUUUAGGUAGGUUUUGGCGGCACCAUUCUUCCAGGUUUCCCCUCCUUCCCUAACUUUGACCUCCGACACUUCCAACAGCAUACUCCACCAACAACUUCCCUUACCAUUUCCUAUUUGCUAUAAACUCAUAUCUUGUAUAUAUAUUUCUUUGAAUUUUUGUUUACAGUUAAAUCAAUCCAUGCCAUACAUGUUCUGUUGGUUGAAAAUUGUAGUACUGACUGCUGCAUGGUGAUAAAUUCUGCGGUGGUGAUGGUGUCUACUAUUGUCAAGGUCUCCUGUAGAGUGAGGGAGCCCUCAGUUGUGUGCGGGAGGAAGAAUGAAGAAGAAAAGAGGAAAGUAAAGGGAGUGAUAAUUGCAAUAGAAGGCGAUUGCAGUGUUGUUAAAGGGUGGAUGCAACGUGCAAUCCCAUACUCUUCUUGAAAAUAGGAUUAAAUCCCAAAUCUCAAUCAAAUAACACCUUUGGAAAAUUGUAACUUUGGCCGUUUUCGAAGUUAAAAUUACAGAAACCUCAAUAUCAUGGCCUCCCAAACAACAUGUUUAAUCAGGGAAUCACUGGCCCACUUUGCAUGGCAUCUUUAUCUCAAAUAUUAGAUUUCAGAUGACCGAACAAACUAGUCCUUAGGGACGAUGGGAGGGAUCGAACUCCAUCUUUUUAAGAUGAAUCUAUCAAUUUUAAAUAGAUGUGACUUAAUUUACACGGCACAUGUAGAAUGUCUUGACCUAUGUGCUUUUUCUUAACUAGCAUUGUUUCCUCAGUCCACAAUGUAUUCAUUAUGUUAUGUUACUCAAGAAGUGACUUCACCAAAUAGAGUUGGAUAGUUCAUUGUUGAAAGUCGAAAUUCAAUUCGGAUACUAUAUUUUCCUUCUUAUGUUGAAUGACAGUGUCAUGUCAGUUUACUUGUUCAAAAUAUUUAUUACGUAAAUUCUAUGUAACAUGCUAUCCAAAGCAAUCAGUAGAUUUUUUAAGCUAGUUAUUCCAAUGCAUAAUUCGUAUUCUCUAUAGACAAUGCUACUUGUGUCCUAUUGUAGUCAUAGUAUAAUCGUGUUUGCAGCUACAAGGCAUGGGGUUCUUUGCUAGGACUACAAUUAGCAGAAAGAGAUAUCAUAGUGGCAUGUAUUGAUUACAGGUAACUGACUCAAUCUUAAUUCUAUCGUGUUUAUUCUGAUAUUCAUGAAUUGAACAUACUUGCAAUUGUAUUUUUAUAAGCAUAAGAGCCUAUAUGAAUUGGCCAUGGUUGCCUAAUUCCAGAAAAAAAUUGUAGGUUUUUACUCCCCACUCACCCUGGAAAGAACACUGCUAUUUAUUAGAAAGGUUUUGUCAAAUAAUGUUGUGUUCCCCCUCCAGAAAUGGACUGGCAUGAUGUAUUUCAAUAGAUUUAUGUGCCUUUCUUCUGAAGAAUAACACGCACAAGACAACCAUUAUAACAUGUCAAAAUAAUUUUUUUCAUUGUUCCUUUAUCAAUGUAAUGUUCAGCAACCUGGCGUUUGCAAAUUAUCACCUUCAACUUGAAUUAGUUAUCAUUAUCAUUUGGUUGAAUGAAUUCAACACAAAAAGUUUAAGUACACCUGUUGGCCUUCCAAAUGACCACAGGUAUUUGCCUGAGUUGCGAAAUCCUUCAUAUACAAUGAUGAAUAAAUUCUUUCUUUAUCUCCUAUGUGAGUGUAAAUGUAAUUUUGAUCGAUAAUAUUGUCACUUCGUCACAGUUUCCCAUAUCUGUAUCCAUCUGGUUGCAGAAAUUUUCCACAGGGAACAAUCAGCGAUAUGGUUAAUGAUGUUUCUCAAGGGAUUGCUUAUAUUUGCAACAAUAUUAUUGGAUAUGGGGGUGAUCCAAACAAGUAAGUCAAUUUUAUUUUUUUAAUUGAGAUCACUUACUUCAAAACUGGAGAAAUAAUAUCAGGAAUUUCAUGAAAGAAACAAACGGAGGGAAAAUUGAUAGAGAAGGUCUGUACGACUUGAGUAACCAAGGGUUUGCCAAUAAUGGUGGUGGAUAAAGGAUACAGUCAGGAACAAAGUAGAUUUGUUGUUAAAAUAGAGAAUCUUACCCUAGAUAAUAGAACAGAAUGGGAAAAAGGAAGGGAUUUAUUUGUUGAGCCGAAACAUCAAGUCUUGUUGAGAUGUCUACGCUCUGGCACUAAGGGUUAGGACCUGCUGAGUGCUGGUGAAUAAUGAAUGAUCCUUCUUGCAAAAACACUUCUUUUGGAAACAUUCCUGCAGGAUUUAUCUUAUGGGUCAGUCAGCUGGUGCACAUAUUUCUUCCUGUGCUCUUUUGCAGCAGGCAAUCAAAGAAUCCAGAGGCAAUAGCAUUUCUUGGAGUGUCUCCCAGAUAAAAGCUUAUUUUGGUUUAUCAGGGGGGUAAGUGUAGUAUUUACCAGGAUUUAAAUUUUGUUUUCAUAUUGUUGAGGGGCCAAUCUCUUGUUCUACCAUGAAUUGGAUCUAAACUGUUUGAUGGACUACAAUAACUUCCUAAUCCAUGUAUACUGACAGGUACAAUUUACUCAAUCUGGUCGAUCAUUUCCAUAAUCGAGGCUUGUAUCGCUCCAUCUUCUUGAGGUAUAAAAGUUCUUUUCAAUGCUAAAUCAUUUAAUAAUAGCCCAUGGGUAAAGUUUGACCGACCGUGUUCUUUUGUUCUAUAUGAUUGAUGUCUUGAUUUGUUAUUUACAGUAUAAUGGAAGGAAAAAAAUCACUGGAACAAUUUUCUCCUGAAGUUAUGGUACAGGAUCCAAGCUCUGACAAGGCAGUUUCUAUGCUUCCCCAUAUUGUCCUUUUCCAUGGUACUACAGAUAGUUCCAUACCAUCAGACGCAAGGUUUGCAUUCCUUCUCAAGAAUGAUGUUAAUAAGCUGCCCUUGACUUCAUACAAGAUACCGUGUCUUCUUGCAGUAAAUGAAUCUGUUGUUAUCUAAUCCCAUGCUUUAUGAACUGUGUGUGAAUUUUUAUAUUGCAAUUUUGAAAUGUUUGUGUGCUGUUUUAAUAAAAUGGCAUCAUCUUUCAAGUUGAGAGGAGCUACUUAUAUUAUAAGAUGCUAACAGCUAGGUACUGACCCAAUAUUAAUCUAUCAUUCUAACAUAACUGUAAAGGCUCUUUUGUCAAUUUCAUUUUCUAGCAAUGACAUGUGAAUUUAUUAUGCUAGAAUACCCUUUCUGCAAUUCUAAUCUCGUCAGUUACCACUUGUAUGUUGUUGUGAAAUUGUACAAAAUGUUUUUAAAUCUGAAAUUUUUCUUGAGCAUGUAUGUGUUCAGUAUCAUGACUUAAAUGGUUACUAAUACUGUUCUGAAAAUGAUUAUUGUUGAUCCAAAAUCCGCUCUAGGAAUUGGAGGCAUGACAUGCUGAAGUAGUGAAAAGUUCAUAUAUUCAGUCUUUCGCUUAUUUUUGAUCUAGGUGUUUUUUUUUUUUUUUUUUUUUUUUGUCGUGUUUUCUUUUUCCCCUUUUCAUGGGCUGGUGGAGUAAACAACUAGUCCUAGAAACUGAAGUACUGGAAAAAGGGAACUACAUGGUGUGACCAUUUAGUGUAGUAAUUUAUUAUUUAUAUAGGUACAGUUGAACCUCUUUCGAUUUAUUGUCCUAAUUGCCUAAGAUUUGAAUCAUGCUUCACUUUAGCUUAGUGUGAUUGCCCUGGUGCUGGUUUGGAACUGAUCCAAGUACGCCUGACCUUCAUGGAGUUCCAGGAAAGAUGUUUCAACCCAAACUCUAGUUUUUCCUAACUCAAGGUUUUAGGCGGGCACUGUGUGGAAGGCUAUACCUCUAUGCAUGGAAAGUGUUAUAAAUCCUUCUGUUGAAGAUUAAUAAUGUCAUGAAUUUGGACAAUGCACAACUCAAAAUAAAAGAAAAGCAUUCUUUAAAGUAUAUAAUUCUUUUUUAGAAUGCUAUAUCCUGUAAUAUAUUAAUUCUUGUAUCUGGCCAAAGAAAAUGCACACUAUCUUGUUUAAGCAAGAGUUACUUAAUUGUGGCACAGUGUUAACCUUUGUUUUAACUUGUUUACUAUUUUCAGUAAAGCAUUUGUGAAUACACUCCACAGAAGGGGAGCUCGAGCAGAACUUAUUUUAUAUGAUGGAAAAACCCAUACAGAUCUAUUCCUCCAAGUAAGCACGACUUAUGUUCCAUUUUUUCCCCCGGGCAUUGCCUGAGUUGCAAUAGAUUUUACAAUCAGUACUGCAGAUUCUAAUUAUCAGUAUAGAACUAUUCAUGUCCCAUCCUUUCUAGAGCUGGCAUCAGAUUGAUAGAUGACUCGAUUGAUAUGCUAGAGAAGUAGAAAUAUAACUACUUGUAACGAGGUGUAACUCAUUCUGACUCAAGAUUGACGUCGGACAGGCGAUGGUUGAGUUUUAAGUGAAUGUAGAUCAGCCUGGUCAAUUAACUUUUUAAGCUUGAAAUUUAAUCUCUCGAACUGCAGGAUCCUCUUCGUGGUGGUAAAGACGAGCUUUUUGAUUACUUGGUAGCCUUCAUACAUGCUGAUGACAAAGAAGCCCUUGCUAGAGAUGCAAUGGCUCCUCCUAGAAGACGAUAUGUCCCAGAGAUAUUGUUGAGAUUGGCUCGUCGGGUCAGCCCCUUCUAGGUCAGACAUUUCCUAGUGCAGAUGUUUUCUUUGUAAUUGAUGUCAUAUAAUUCUCAAUGGAAAGGGAGGUGUGUACUGUUUUAAUACAUGGACAGAAUGUAGUGCUUUUGAGUCAUACCUUGAACUUUCCUUUGGUUCUUUAUAUUAUUUCAUUUACUGGUGGAUUGAUUCCUAGUAACUCGAUUUUAUUUUAUUUUUGGGAGGAUGGGAAGGGAGGUAAAAAUUCUCGAAACUUGACCUCAGCUCUGGAAACAAUAUUUCCUAACCAAUCGAGAUACGAAGAUUUGGUCUAUUAAUUUGGUUUGAGAAUGAGAGUAUUUGUGAAAUAUUUAAGAAUGAGGUUUUUUUAAUGACUGUAAGAUUAAAAAAAAAAAAAAAAAAAAAGUCUACCUAUUUUUCCUUUAGCCAAAGCAUAAGAGCAUCUUCAAAGAUUCUUUAAAUAUAAAGUACUCUCUAUUGUAGAGAGUCGGCGCUUAAAUGAGCUCCAAGAGACUUUUUAUUUAAACUUUUUAAAGUAGAAAGUGUGUCUGACUCUCCACACUUAGAGAGUCAAACACACUCUCUAUUCUUAAUGUACAAUGAUUGUAUUUAAUACAUUAAAAAUUUCAAUAUUCUACAAUUUAAAUUUUUCAAAUUACAUUUGAAUUGAUUGGUUAUUAAUAUAUAAAAAAAUUAUAUUUAAAUAAAAUAUGUUGAGAAAUUAUUAAAUAUUUAUUAAAAAACAAAAUAAAGAAUCAAAAUAGAGAGCUUGUUGAAAUGUGUAAAAAAAUUAUUCUCUAAGUUUAAAAAUGCUCUUUAUUAUGCAUAAGAUGCUCUUUAUAAAUAGAGUGUUUUUAGAGACUCUAAGAAAGUAAAAAACACGUAGUUCAAGUAACAUACUAUCCAAAUAGAAAUAAGGUUAUUAAUGAGCGCAACUUUAUGAAAGUUCUAGCGAGGUUUAUGAUAAUUUAAUGCAGCUGUCAAUAUUUUAAAGAGUAAUUUUAUUUAACAUUAUUGGUGUUAAAAUACUCGUCUAUAGAUAUUAACGUGACAUUAAAUGAAAUUUAUAAUUAAACUAGUCAUUGAGUUUAUUAUUUAACACCACUUAAACUAGUAGUUGUACUAAAUAUCAUUAUUCAUAUUUAAAGGAGCUCAACAGAUUAUGUACUAUCAAUUAUACAUCCAUGUUAGUAAUUCGAUCUGUCAUGUCAACUUGUUCGAUAAGUUGAUCGAACUAAAUUUGUUGAUGAAAGCUACAUUAGAACAUCUCCAAUCCUUUCAUGGAUUGCUAAAUAAUUUACACUACAAGUAUCCAAUGUUUAAAAAUUUUAUUUUCAAUUUAGUUGAGAUUCUUCAUUCUUUCGAUCUGACACGUCAAAUGAGAUAGCAUGCAUUGCGUGAGCCUUGUUAGAAUUUCAAAAUUCAUGUGUGUGUGUGUGAAUUUUUCUAUUUUCCACAUGUAGCAUGAUGUAUUGAUAGCAUAUACAAAGAGACACAAAAGUGCAAAAUUAGAAUAUGAAGAUCCCUCUCUCCACGGACAUGAGCACAUGACAUCAUAAUUAAGAUUACCAGGAAGAAAGCCGAGCCAUUACUUUCAUUAGGCUUGAUCUCUUAUCCACAAUGGGACAUAAUAAAAACUUUCUACUGUUGACGUGGUAAGAGAACCAUAAUUAUGGUUCUCAACGAUGAAAAUUUUUUAUCUUGUCCACUGGAAAUGAAAGAUCAAAUAUAUUACUUUCAUACCUCUUGCUAAGUCGAUCAUAUACCGACAUAAAUUUCAUUCAGCUUAUAAUAUCAUCCGAUUUUCUGAACUCUCUUUGCAUCUAUUUCAAAGAAGAUUCCAUGCGAUGAGUCAUUGGACAACAUUUUUCUAAUCAAAGUCGGUCUCAUCUCCUCGCCCAAAUUUAUCGGCAUCACACUUUUCUAGAGAGAAGUAUUAAGAACUAAUUCAUAAAAACAAAAAAUGAUCUAACAAACACGACGACAUGACACAGCAAUCCAUCUGUGAAUAACAUUUUUAAUUUAAAUACUAAAGCUGUCCUUAAAAUUAUGCACUAAUAAAUUGAUCUGUACUUAGCAUAAGCUAUGGCAGUUAGGACGCUUGUAGAUAUGUUCAAUUCCCAAUUUGAGGAAAACAAGAUAUUAAAUUCGCAUAUAAUAGAUAAAGGGGCACACACAAACCCACACAGAGAGAUCAGUUGUAUAUCUCAGGAUCUCUGCAAUAGACAGCUAAAUCUUGUUAAAGAUAGAAUGGCUUGAGUUUGCCUCCAGAAAUUUUUAAGUUUACAAUCAUUGAAUACGUAUCUGUAAAAGUCCAUUACACGUCUAAUUUUGUACACUAUAACUCCCUUCAAUUCAAAAGAAUACUUAUCCUGCAUUUCCCUCUUUCCUAGUUAGCUAAAACUUUGCAUCGGCCAUCACACAAUAGUCCACAUAGACACUAAAUAAUCCCUAAAGCAGCCUAUCUGGGGGAUGAUGAAUGUGCAGUACUAUACCGACCACAGUUUGCGGAACCAUCUUGCACUAGAUGGCUUCGUCUACCUCUGUCCGACAAGGAUCGGCCGUAACUCGGGCUUCUAGGAAUGGAUGUACUAGAUCUCGCACUAGGGGAAGAGUAACUGGAGUCAUAACCGCCAUAUUUAUGAGAAUAAUUUGAGGGUCGAGAUCCAGGAUCAACUCCAGGAGGCCCAUCAUCUUCGAAAUCACUGGACCACCUUUGUUGAUGAUAAUGCCGUCUGCUGAGAGUCUCAGACGAGUGGUUAUAUUCACGGUACGAACCAUGUCUCGAUACAUUGUAACUUGACGACCCAGCUACCCAAGGUCUUUCGUCUGCAUUUUCUGGGAUUGGAGCAUUUAUUCCAGGAAAUUUAACACUCAUUUUCCUGGAUGGCUCAGCAACAGUUGGAUCAAGAAUUUCCCCUUCUUCAGUUUCUUCCUUCGUUGCCUCAUCAGCAAAAAUUGUAAUCCCUGAUGGCUGGUCCUCAUCAUCUGGAUCUGAAAAUUUAGAAAACAAGAUGAAACAAAUUUUGAAGAUGUGCACUUCACGCAUAGAAAACAAAACAUAAAGACAUUAAAGAAGGAAAUUUAAACCCUGCCGCCCAGUGCAUAGAGAACUAUUUCAACAAAUCAUCAAGAUGAAAACUGUUUAAUUAUUCUCUACCUAAGUAACCUGGUGGAUAUCCUAUUUCCCGCAUUCUGUUAAACCAAGGAGGUGGAUCAAACUCCUAUACAAUAAAAAAGAAUGAUGAGUAGAGAUGUUAAUUAUGACAGUUCUAAUAAUAUAUUAAAGAAUAACUAAAAUUAUUCUAGACUUGCAGCCUACUCAACAAAUAUUCAGACUCACAUAAAACCAUCCACGAAAGAAAAAGAACCUCACUCAUCUCAAAGCAAGAUUAUCUCACCCUGAGUCCUAAAAGUUUCCGCGUCUCAGAAUCAAGUACACCUGGCCUUAAACCAUCAUAUUUCCCCCCAGGAGAGCUGUGAAAAUAUCGAGUGGCGUUACGAGAACUGGAAUGUUGAUUACGCCUAGUCUUGUGCUGUUUUCGGGCAUUAUUGAUGGUAACACUGUCACGGGGCUUAGGACAUUCUUUAAGUGCAUGGCUGUACGAACCACAGUUGAAGCAACGGGAAUUAUCUAACAUAUCCAAGCCUCUGCACAAAAUAAACACGGGUAUGCAGUUCAGCCAGAAGAUCGACACACAAGUCAAUAGAAGAAAGUAGAGCUUUAAGUUGAACAAUUUACUUUUGAGACAACUCGAAAAGUUUCAAAAGGUGCUAUAUAUACCAAGAUUUUACCUAAUUGAUGUGUUGGCUUAAAAUUGCCAUGUUUUUUUCGAGAAUACCAACAAAUCAACAAUAAAAUAAAACAAAUAAAUGACAAUAAUCAAAAUAAACAAGAACCAACACAUAAAUAACAAAAGAAAAACAUACCCAUCCAAAUCAAGGUAACCAAUUAUGGAGUGACCACUCAUGUAAUGUUAUUUAAAUUUAGUGACUAAUUGGGAAUAAAUAUACUUUAAGAAUCAAUUCGAAUUUCACUUGGAACUUCAAUGACCAUUUUUGAGAUUUUAACUCUUAACAGCAACAUUGUUAUAAUCCUCUUUACUUUCCUUAGCUUUUAAAAAUAUUCAUUUACUAUUAAACUACAGAUAAUAUAUAAAGAUUGUGAAAUAAGCACAGUAAUGGUAAUAUUUCUAUAUUUGCCUGCUUACCUUGCAGUAAUGGUUAAAAUGUUAAUUUCCUUUUAUUUCUUCAUUUACCACUUCAGUGUUACUUUUGAAAAAGAAAAAAAGAAAAAAAUAAAUAAAAAUAAAUAAAUACAUGGUACUUCUACUUUGAUAGAAGACAAAUGGUCAUAAAUUACCCAGAAUAUAUUUUCUUCCAUGUUUUUGUAUACAUUAGUAAAAUACACAUAUGACUUGAAUGGAUAAUACAUUUUCUUCAAUGUUUUGAAAUGGCAUAAUAUAUUAGUUAAAUACAUAAAUAGACACAAACUGCGUAUCGGCUUAUGAUUUGUGGAUUCUAUUUCGUACUAUCAAGUUUCUCCCCAGUAAUAGUAAAGGAACUUGCAAAUUUAAUUAAAAAGAAAUAAACGAGGCCUCUCUCCACUAAUCUUAAGAUCCUUCUCUCAACCCACACACGCACGAACCAACACAUAAAUAACAAAGAAAAACAUACCCAUCCAAAUUAAUGGAACCAUCAGUUGAAGUCAGAGCCAAAGAAUAUCCACGGUCAUAAAGAGGGACAGAAUUGCCAUCCAAUGGUAUAAACACCUCACUCGGUUGAUUGCUUAUUUGGUUGUCCACCCAAAAGGUCUUCAUGGAGUAGAGUACAUGAGAAUAAACCACAAAUUCACUGACUAUCGAGGUAAAAAGAUAAAUCAUUCAUUGCAAACCAUUCUAUUAACAGAAAAGUAAAAUGAUGUGAGCAUUUGAGUCAUUUUAUUUGGAAGUAAAUAUUUCACUGGAAGGGUGCUCAAGGGAAUACAAGUCAAUGCAGAGGCAUAUCAAAAAUCAUGAAUGCAUUCUUAAAUUGGAAUUCUACAUUUAUAUCUUGUUAAAAGGUUCAUUUCAAAGCAUCUGAAGCCAUCAAAGGAGCAGUUUUUUACAGGUUGUACCCAUGCAUAGUUGAAUACUGAUAAUUAUAGCUCCAGCAGAAAUGAUGGCAUGCCAAUGAUGAUGUUGUGCAAGUCAAUUUUACAUUACCAAUAAUUCUUCUCGUCCUUAAAACAGUCAGACACGAGUGCAAGCCAAUAUCGCUAUCUUCCAGAGAAAUAUUUUAUUUUACUCCAACGCUAAUAAACUAUUGAAUUAGUAAUUCUAUAGCCAUAAAAAAUUAAACUUCUAAUCGCAUAAAUUUGUUCAGAUAUUAACAAAAAUAGGCCAAAUUGCUCAUGAACCCAAAUGUUGAGAAGAAAACGAACAGAAGUCAUUGUAAUUUUUUCCAAGUCAGAUAACUGUAGUUGUUAAAUUUUAAAGUCAUUUCAUGAAAUACAUGUCAAGUUAAUGCUUUAAGAUCCACCACAGGACACGAGGACAACAGGGAGAAAAAAUCAUACCACCGCAGAAGGCUUAUCCACACCAACACAGAGAGCUGGAAAGUAAGUCUCUUCACCAGAUACGAAAACUUCUUGUGAAUCCUAAAUUUAAUAAACAUACAGGUCAGCACGUGAAGAUUGUGUAAAUGAAAAUAAAGCAAACAACUGCAUAAAAGGUAAACUAUAUUAAAUGUGUUACAUAACAGGAUAACAGUGUACAAAGUUACAAUCAUUUCUUCCACGACAAGGCGGGGGUAUCUCGACAAUAAAUGAAGGCAAGAAAUGAGAGACUAAACUGUAAGAAUUUAAUCAAACAACAUUUCUCAUAGAAAUUAAUCAGGCUUACAUUUGUACAGAGGUAAACUAUAUUAAGUGUGUUACAUAACAGCGAUUGUGUCCACAACAAGGAUGGAGGUUUCUUGUCAAUAAAAUAAGGCAAGAAAUGAGAGACUAAACUGUAAGAAGUCAAGUAAUCCACAUUUCUCAUAGAAAUUCAUCAGGCUUACAUUUGAUGACGAACAGAUUUGUCCAUGCCAACGUGACCACUGCUGUAAUAGCUCCUCCAGCUUUCUUUUACUAUCUCUGAGAAAGACAACAAGCUUGUCAGUUGUCAGAUAUAUAUAUACAUGUGUAUAUAUAUACAUGUAUAUAUAUAUGUAUGUAUGUAUAUGUAUAUUACAAUUUCGUAGUUUAUACCUGGUCAGAUAAUUAUAAUUAACGCGCACGGAAGGUUGUUUUUCAUCAUCACUUAAUCUGGGUCUCUUAACCCCAGAUAUUUCUAGGAGUUCAAGUUAUGGAAAAUACCAAAAACUGGGAUACUGGGAAUUAUGUAGCGAAUGAAUAUGAAAAUUAAAAAAUAUAUAUUAGAGCAGGAUACGACUAGCAUCUAUUCCUCGACCACUGACAAGGGUUUCAUCUCUUUUACAAUUAUUAGGACUAAUUUUCUCUUCAACAGCUAGAAACCCAUUCUCAGCAUGUGCCACAGAGCUGAGACAAGCAAUCUUGUCUGAUACUGCAACGGCUUCAGUGAGUUCAAAACUCACAGGCAGAGUAGACAUGCUAGCAAACCCAUCUUUUUCACCAUCAGUUUCCAUCAAAGCUCCCUUCUUUUCAUGUACAACAUCAGAGAUAACUUCAUUGAUCCCAUCUCUGAACUUGGAGUUUACAGGUAAAGAAUCAACUUCACUAGGCUCACAACCAGAUUCAUGUAAUUCAUUAUUCUCACUUCCACUUCGAGAAAUACUAGAAGCAGGAAGGUUGAUGAAAUCCUCAGUUUCCAUAGAUUCGAGCAUAUGCCCCCAGGUAUGAAAGUGCACUGGUUGCAUGUAAUAAAUCAGUAUAGAUAUCAAGAAUCCACUCAAUAGGUACCAGAAUGAAGUUAAUAGUUAAUGCUCAACAAUCAAUAGGCAUCUGAAUGAAGUGAAUAGUUAAUACUCAACAAGUAUCUGAAAGUACUGGAGGUAACGUUCAUAAAUUCAGAAUCGGCUCUUUAUUCAUCUAUCCAAGUCUAAGACCAUCUCCAAACCAUUUCAACAAAACGGUGCAACUUUCACAUCAUCCUAUUUAGUCAUCUCUAACUCAUUACACCAAACGUUACAUAAAAAAAAAAAUAAUAAUAAUAAAAUCAUUUUCUUUCCCUAAUUUUAAAUUCUAAACAACUACUUCAUUUCAAAAAUUAUUUAAUUACAUAUUCAAUUACUACUAAAAUUUUAUUUAAUAACAAAAAUAUUGCUUUUAUAAUAAUUUUAAAAAAAAGAAAAAGAAAAAGCAUUACACUGUGUAUCACAAUUAAGAUAAUGAUAUGUUUAAAACAAAUCAUUAAUUAAUAAAAAGAUAUAAAAAAGAAUAUAGUAGGCGUUAAAAUUUGUUGAAGUAUAAAAUGAAGCAUAUAAUGAGAAAUAAUUAAAACUGUAUACUACACCAAAUGAACAAUAUUACACAAAUUCGAUGCAAUGCUGUUCAUUACUGUAAUUUAGUGUGAAAUUUCGACGUCCGGUUGGAGCAUCAUUUUUAAGUCAUUUUGAAUGUUGGGCUGGAAAUGCCCCAAGAAAUAACUUCCAUCAAUUUUAUGUCUCCUGAGCUGAUUCAAUAAAUCUGCAAUCCGGUUCUUCUUCAAGAUGUACACUGACAGAAGCCCUCAAAGAGAAAUUUCUUCUGUUUUCUAAUAUCAUAUAGUGAUGCAUACAACUGAAUGCACUUUAUCAAAAUAGAAACAAGCAAUAACCGGGAAAUCAAAAAUGUUUUAGUAACAAACAGGUUUGAAUAUGAAAUACAAAAAAAUAUGUUGGCACCUCUUUUGCAUUAAAAUCAAAAGUCCAAAUCAAAAUUUAGGACAGAUUGAUUUAAAUUUAUAUCUUAAACAUUUCCCAGUGCCAAGUCACGUGAACAAAACUCGAUUUUAGCUCCAACGAGACAAACUUUGACCACGAAAGUUUUAGAAUUCAAUUAGCCUAUAACAGCAUAACCCUAUGAACUCGGUAAGCUAUAUCAACAGAAACAAAUCUAAACAAUCAAUUAAAAUACCAGAACCAGAAAACUGAAGUCGCAACUUUCGGAUUCAGGCAUCAUAUUUUGGCCAAAAGUUCAAUUACCGACCAAAAAAACAUUUUCUGCCAAAUUAACAUUCGGGUAUUACUUAAUUGCUAUCAGUAAGGAAAAUAUGAUUCAACCUUCCGAUUCAUAUAAGAGCGAGCUUACAAAAAGAAAAGAGAAAAGCCAGAAAAGCGAUAUGAGGGUUUGUGAUUCACCUUGAAGUUGGGGAUACUCGACUGCGCCGACAAUUGUGAAACGGGAGAACUGACCAAGCCAAUAAGGUCCGAUGAGGAUCCAAGAUUUGAUUCAACAAAUCGCUGAGUGCACGAUGCUCGUGCGCGAUGCGCGCGUGUUGAGAGAGAGGAUUUCUUUAAUUAAGAAAAAAAUGACCACAUAAGUCGUGUUAUAAUAAUAUAUAUUAAGGGGGUGUUUGAUUACCAUUUGUACGUAAAAAUGCAUUUUAGAAUAGUAAUUUGAUGGAAAGUUUGUGGUUGAAAAAUAAGGAAUUUUUUUUAUUUACGUGUAAUAUUAUUUCAAUAAAUAAUGUAUGGUUGAAAAGAAGAGAGAGAAAUGUAUUUUAAAAAAUGGGAACCAAUCAGGGGCUCACAGGUAUCUGUAAUUGCAAUAUUUGGCUUACGUUUGUUUAAAAAUUUAUUUUUAACCACACAUUCUUUCAUAAAAUAAUAUUACACAUAAAUCGUAAAAACUUCCUAAUUUUUUUUAUCAUACAUUAUUCAAAAACCCACUAUUUCAAAUUUUCCUUUUUUUCCUCCUUUUUUUUUUUCAAAAUUUCCAAUGUAAUGGAGCCCAUACGAGAGCUUAGACAUAGGUAAAGAAAGGAAAUAAAAACACGAACAAGGCCAAAAAUGGCUCACAGUACUAAAUAAUAAAGUGCUCGAAAGUGACCAACACAAAAUGCAAUAACAAGCCUGCAAGGAGAUCUUCUUUAGCCCUUGUUUGACAAUCAUUAUUUUCAAAAAUUUUUUUUUAUAUAUAUUCACUUUAUACGCAUUCAUAGAAUAAAAUAUUCUAUUCGUAAAUUCAAAACUUUUGUUACUUUUUAACCAUACAUUCUCCUAAAAAAUUAUUAUUCAAAAUAUUAUUUUUUUCAAAAAAUUGCCAUCAAACAGGACUUAAUAAAAAUAUUAAAAAAGAAAAAAAAUCAUAAUUACCACACUUUAAAAAAUGUAAUUUUAAAAUAUUAAAUUUGUAAAAUUCUUCCAUAAACCAAUAUUAUCUUUCCUAAAAGAAUAACGUGACUUGAAUUGAUUAUUAAUAAAUAAAAAACACACACACACACAUUUCAUGAUUAUUCUCUCUCAUAUUUUCACCUCCUAAAAAGUAAAAAAGAAAUUAGUUAUUUUCUUCAUCAACGUUCUCACAAAUUAUAAAAUAAAAAAUAAAAUCAUGGACCUCCAAGGCACGACCAUCCAGAAUAUGUGAAGAAAUUGACCACAGAUUCCCAACAUGAUUUCGCUAAAAUAAUUAUAUCUUUUUUGUCCAUAGUUUCCCUACUAUUUUGUGACUCUAUUUUGUGGUUUCAUAGCUAUUUGAAUGUGAACUAAAACAUAUUUCUUCGGAAAUUGUGAUUUCUGCAAGAAUUAUAAUAUAAUUUCAAGACCGAUGACUUCAUUUAGAACAGGAGAAUAAAAAAAAUAUAAACACGUUGUUAAUAAAAUGAUUUUAUCUAUCGAUUUUGUGAUUCUGAAAAUGUUGAAGAUGAUAAUUAAUCUUCAAAUCUUAAAACCAUGGUUUUGCUUAAUUUUCUACUGAAAAUUAGACAAAACAACGGGUGUUACACUGUUCCACAUCAGUCACAUCUACAUGACAAAUAAAUGUUCAUCACAUUCCAAAUAUCAUAUUUCAAGAUUUCAAGGAUGAGAUAUACGAGGAAACAUAGAUCACAUUUUACACAAUUAAAAUGGGAAGACAUAGUCGUCACAAGUUUCGAGAGAAAAAAUGAAUUCAAGAAGACAAAACAUCAUAUUGCAUUGUGUUACUAUUAUAUAUAACUAAAGUUCACAAAUAUAACCUUGAUCCAAUGCAUUCGAGGUCACAAUUUUUUACACAAGCAUUUAAAUAGAGCUAUUGAAUAAUGCUACUUGUAAACCGUGCUGACCCAUCAAAACUUCAUGUGACAGUGUGUUACUAACAUAUUCUCUAGUAAAUUAAAAUAUAUUUCAAAUUUAUAGAAGAAUUCUACAUUACUGCCACAUAUCGAUAUCGUCGAUGGAUAAGCACCCUUUACAAAUAGCAUAAUUCUAUAAAUUCAAUAUCUAAUUCCUUUUUAAUUUUUUUUUUCUGGUACUAUGGUCAAAGCUUACAAUUAAUUAGACGAAAUCUACAACGAAGUGCAAUACUUAAUCAAAGGUUUCGAAUAUUUUGAUCCACAGUUUAUAAAAUGUUUCCUGAAUUAAAGUUUCCAGAUUUUAUUUAAAAAAUAAAAGUAAAAAAGUUAUGAGGUAUGAAAGGUUCUUGAAUUAAAGUUCCCAGAUUUUACUCUGAAAAAUAAUAGUAAAAAUGUUAAGAAACCUUUUGAAAAAUCAAAAGCCAAUGAAAUUGAGAAUUUUAAAUUGGUUUCACUCUGCAAUUAUUUUUGGAUAAUUUCAAAAAUAUUUGAAAUUAAAAAGAUUAAGUUUAUCUGUGUAAACUUAGUUAACAUUAUAUGGGAUCAUAUGAAUUCUGGAAAGUAAAUAUUCUUAACAUUUGGAAUUAGUAACAAAAAACACACAGAUUUCAAAACAUUGUGAAAAUCUCUAUAAACGUUUUUCCCAGAAUUUAAUUGCUGCAGUGUCUUUGCAAUCAAGAAAUCUUAAUUGUUUAUUCUUAGAAAUUCACUUCCCAAGUACAAAAUGCAGUCAAUUAAUAAGGAUUAAAAAAAAAAAAAGGAUUAUUUUGUGUUCCCUCUUUUGCAUACUCCCGCGAAAUACCGAAUACGUUUCAAAGAAACGACACUGUAACCUACCUUGAAGUUUCACCUUCGGAUAUAAUUUUUUUCCAACAAAUAUUCCUUUUACUUCAUUUUUUUGGAAGUUUAAUUUUCCUUAACCUAAAUCUACAUGAAGUAGAAAGGCAGGCAGAUAAAAAUAUGUGUCCUAGUCUCCUGUAUGCAUUAAUGAAGAUGGUGUACUUGUUCUGAGUCAGAAAAAUAAUAAACGAUAAUCAACUCUUCAAAAGAUCUGAAAGAUAAGAAGAAACAAUCUCAAGAAAGUGAAUUUAGCUGAUUGAAAUCAGAAAAUCUAAAGUUACAUACACCUGUAUGUUGUUCUUUUUUGAGAAAAGAAUAUAUGCAUAAUUUGCUAGCUAUGUACUAGUUCUGGUGUUAGAAUAUAAAAUAUCUUUGAUUGAGAAAUAAAGACGGGACAGCCAAGAUCACCACCAUACCCACUCUGCAAAUCCAUCACGAAAAAUAGGUUUAGGUUACCUAACAUUUCACAGGUUUUUCUUUUUCAAGAAGAAAGCAAAUCAGACGUCCUUUUUUUUUUUUUUUUCCCUUCCCUAUCCAUUUCUGAACUUGUUUGUCUCUCUUACACCGCAGUGUCGUUUGAGCUACAGAAAGUUAAGAGGUUUUUUUGCUGUUUAGCUGCUGCAAUGGUAUAAUUACUUUUACUAAUUCUAGGAACCAUGAAUAUGGAAAAUUCUAUUACACAGCAUCAUUGAACCAUGAUCAGUAUUUUUUUGGUUCUUAUGAUUAGUUAUUACAAACGACAUAAAUCGAUGGGAAUGUGAUCGUGAUUUUUCCUUUAUUUUUUGUGCCAUUUAUUUUUACUGCUUGCUUCAGUUUUUGUUUCUAUUUCUUUAAGGAUAACAUCACCCCCACCUCCACACCCCCCCCACCCCCCCCCCCCCCCCCCCCUUAUGCCACCAAUUAACAGAAUUGAGUUAUUCUUUAGCUAAACAACAAGGAUUGCUUCGACUAAGGGCUUUCAAUUGUUGGAACCAGGCUUAUUAAAGAAAGUAUGAGCCUAUUUGUCGAUUCAACAUUAAUGUCUAUUUCUGUAUGUUCAAAUAAUUCAAGUUAAUAAAGCAAAAGAAUAUAUAUGUACUUGUGACGCUUGAAGUUUUCGUUUUCUUGUGUAUCCAUGGCUGUAAUUAGAAGAGUUUGAUAGUCAAUUCAGCAACUGAACUAUAAUAAUCUUAACCAAAACAAUCAUAGUACUUCUUCCAUCAGUCAUUUCAGAAUAUACAUCCCUGCAACUGCACUUAUUUCUCUUUCUUUGUCACUUAAAUUUUCGGGUUUGAUCCUCACACAACUUAAGUACUCGUGUUAAUAAACCUUCUGACCAAAAAAUUAACAAUUCCAAAAUCUAAACUAAUUCAAUUAAUCAAUGCAGCUUAAACCACUAAAAAAUAAACAAAUAAAUAAAACAGAAGAAGCUGCUUUAGAUACCUAUAUAUCAAACAGGUAUGUUGGCAUAUUAAAUUCCAAGCCAUUGUUUCAAGAAAAGUAUACAGCAGCAUCUUUUGAUUCCAGAUAUCUUAUAUACUGGGAUUCAGUACCGUCGAAGGGAUAACUUGAAAAUAUUCUGCUAAUAACCAACAUAUUUCUACUUAGAGAGGUUAAAACAUAAGGGCUCCAAGUAAAUGAAUAUAAAGUUUUUUAAGGCUUAGACUUCAUGUUAAUUCAAGUGACAUAAAACUCGAUUUCUCAUCCGAUAUGUAGAGAGCAAGGGAGCAUCAAAGAAUAAUUUAAAAUUUAAAUUUUCCUCCUACAGCCAUAUUGAAAAUACUUCUGAAGCCUAAAAGAUGUGAAACUAGAAUGUAAGAGUCUGAAAUCUGUAAAAAACAGUUGCAUGAUGAUUUUAACUAUCAUAUAUUAUACUCCUUCAUAAACUUGAGUUGAGAGUGUUGACAAACGACAACUAAACUAUUGACAACAUUGACACCACAAAUAUGAUGCCAUGGUUAACAUUUGACAGGCCUCUCACUUUCUUCCACAGCUUUCAACUUUGUUUCAGUUUUCGUGUCUAUUUCCUUAGCACGUAUGUUUCCUUUCCAACUUUUGCUCCAAUGUUCUUAGUUUUUUGUUCAUGUUGGUUCAUUUCGGUUGACUACUACUCCAACUGACCAACCAUUUCUCUCCUCUUCAUCCUCAUAUAAUUUAGGUUUCUCUUCCAUUCUCAAAUUGUUCCCUCUAAAAAGCGAGAGCAGCCAGUACAUGAAUCAUACAUAUGCACAUAACAUGUAUGUAUCAAAUGCAUUUAGAAAGAAUAAUGUGUAUUCCCAAAUCCUAUUAAUAUAAUGGAUUCAUGUCUUUCUUCUUAAUUCAACGGUAGAUAAUUAUUGUGGAUCAGCAAUCUUGAACAGUGGAUUCAACCAGGUAGGUAUAGAUGAUUCCUUGGUAUUUUCAGUCCCUCGAUAUUGCAUUUAAUUUUUCAAUAAGAUCUUGAACUUUAGGAUGUUACAUUUGGAUUUGACGUCAAGAAUAAAAUCUAACUUGUAUUUGACCUGAUUAUAUAUGAUAAUUAAUUAAAGACGAGAUUAGACCCGUCCAAUGCAGGCAGCAGUAUAAAGAAAAUGUUUAAUAAAUGAGGGUCUACGGCUAAAUUGUUAACAAAAAAUAACAUACUGAAAUGAACUAACAAUUCAUGAAUGUUCCAACCCGAAAACUAGCUAGAUAAAAAAAGGGAGAAAAAACAUUUAGUAAAGCUUACAUAGCUUAAGCACCUGGUGAACCAUAAAUCAGUCUCGACCUAACUAGUCACGGACCUGCCAAGGGAGGCUGUAAAGAAAAAUGGAAGAAAUAAUUAAUAUAGAGCUAAUUAUGUAUAUUUUGUAAUUUUUUGUUAGCAAACUUUUACCUUUUAAUAAUAUUAUGCUGGUCGAAUAUCGUACACAUACUGGAUUGCCUGAUUAUGCUACUAAUAUCCCAGUUCUCAGCUUCAUAAUUGGGAGAAGAUGAACGGCAAUUUGGAGCCAUAUCACUUGAAACUAUAAGGUUUUGCUCAAAACCUAGACUUGAAGAAGAAGGCCUUGAUUGGCUUGGAACGGGUGGGCUGAAAUCAGAAACCUGCUUGGCUUGAACAUUGAGGAGCCUUUUGCUGCACAGUUUCUCUCUUGUUCUUUCCCUUGCCCUUGCUCUUGAAUCUCUAGCAAUAAGUAAUGCUGCAGCCUGUUGUGGAUCCUUUGCUUCUUUACUGUUGGCAGCAUUUAUCAAUGAUUUUUUCUUUAAAUUUGUCCCCAAGGAUUCCCCGUUGUCAUUUGAUUUAUUAUUCCCGCAUUCAGAAGGGGAAGAAUGAAUAUUGUCGGUACUUUGUUUCGUGCGAAUCAGCUCCUUGAUUGCUGUUUUUGAUUUUUUCAGUAGCCAAUCAAGGGUUUUGCUUGGUUUGUCGACACCUAACAUUUCUUGAAGAUCAAAGAACUGGCGUGCAAUACUUAUGGAAAGCCGCACUCUUCGAUCCCUCGGACCUGUAGCCGUAAAUAUUUUGCUGUGCCUGUCAUUUUUCACCGUCCUUUUUCUUUUUGGAAAAGCAUUUAUAGUAGUCCCAAGAUCUACAUUUAGCCUGUCAAAAUCUUGAUAACCUAAUGCUGUGUCGCUUGGAACUGGCAAGUCAAUGGCGGCCUGAAGAACCGGAGCAUUUUCUGCGAAAUUAUAAUCGCUGGAAAGCAGAUCGUGGUGGUGGCGAAGCAAAAUUUCACUGCUAUUUAAGCAUAGAAAAGAGGUAGAGGCGUGAAAAGAAGGUACAAUCUGCGGAAGAAGGUGUGGAUUCUUCCUGGAAGAGAACAUUUUGAGUUAAGAUUGUAAUGGUGAACCCUAUUCUUUCAUUGGAUGUGAAGAAAAGAUCAGUUUCUCUUCUGGGAUUCGAGGGCAUGCUUGAAAUUAAGUGAAAACAUGUUAAUUAUUUAAAUUUACAAACGUGGCCAGUCUGUGAAAAACCUAGAUUACCUUGUGUGUGUCGAGGAAGAUGGAGGAGAGGAAAGAGGAGGAAAUUUCAAAGAUUGGGAGACCGUCGAGGCCGUACUUUUCAAAAUUUUAGCCACUUUGGGAAAAAAUAAUAAUAAUAAAUUAAAUCAAAUUGCUCUCGUUUGGACUCUAUUAAUUUGCAUUUCAUCACACUUUCAUUUGAGCCCCAUUAUUUUUCAUUACAUUAAAUUAAGCCCUUAUUUGAUUCUCAUUCUUCUAAAAAUUCAUUUUUUCAAAACUCAUUUUCAAUCAUACAUUUUUUAAUAAAAUAAUAUUACACGUAAAUUUAUAAUUUUUAUUUAAUUUUUAACCACACAUUCUUCAUCAAUCUACUAUUCAAAAUACAUUAUUUCCCUCAAAAUGGGAAUCAAACUAUGAUUAAAAUUUUCUCCCUCCCACUUUUAACUACACAAUUUUCAAUAAAAUAGUAUUACUCGUAAAUCAAAAAAAUUUCAACCACUCAUUUUUCAAAUAAAACAUUAUUCAAAACAUUAUAAUGAGAAAUAAUGGGGCUCAAAUAGAGUGGGACAUUACAUUUCUCUUUCUCUUAUUUUUAACCACAUAAUCUUUCAUAAAAUAAUAUUACAUGUAAAUUAAAAAAAUUUCAUUCUUUUUCAAUCACUCAUUUUUAAAAAUAUAUAUAUUACUCCACCCAUUUUCAUUUCCACAAAAUGGAGUCAAACGGGGCUUAAUUUUAAUUAUAUAUUUCAUAAUUUUACAAAGACACAUUCCAUUAACUGAUAUUAAAAAAUAUACAAAAAGUCCAAUUUUACACCAAAGAGGAGCCUGGACACUCGUCCGCCAUAAAACACUCGUCACGUUCAUAGUUAAAUUUGGGUUAAAUCUGUCAAUUUCUAAAUUUGUUAUUGGAUCCUUGUGCCAAGUUGAUUUCUGAGAAUUAUGUGAUCAAUAGUGAUUUUUUGAAAAAUGUAUAGUUAAAACGUAAGAAAAAAUUAUUUAAAAUGAUUUAUUUAGAAAGGAAAAAUCCGUGAAUAUAAAAAAAAUGUUAGCAGAAUUCAUACCAUUGCUAGCGUGGCGUUGCAUGAGUGGCCAUUUUUCUUCUCUUUCUCCAUCUUCUAAUAAUUUCACUCUAUAUGUUGUCUGUCAAAAUUUCUGAACUUAUAAGUUAUACCAUGAUCGAUUUAGAAAAUUUGUGGUCAGAAAAUUAAACCUAAUUGGGUUUUUAAGUUUAUUUUCUCACAAGUCGGGUCACACAUUUAAUGGUUUUUAAGUUUAAUUUUUUACUCAUCAUAUAUUUAUUAUAUAAAAAUUAAUUUCAAUCUAUUUUUAGUUUUUAUUUUAUAUUUUCACGAAUCCCAUUGAGUAAUAUAUCUUAAGCUUAAUUUAAAAUUAGAAUUCCCCUAAUUCUUCUUUUAAGAAUUUCUUUUCUAUUCUCAUUCAUUUUCACUUUUGCAACCAUAUUUCCUUUUCAUUCCAAUUUAUAGAUAUUUUCACCAUAUUAAAUUAGUAAUCUCUAUAUUGAAACCUUAAUUAUAUCAAACAAUCAAAUACUUCAUCGGCAAGAAAUAAAUCUAUGUCAUGUUUCAAAAAUCAUUUCAUGUCAAUAUUUUUGAAUUAUGCUUGUCUCAAUCACACCAUAUAAAAUUGACAUAACUUAACCCUGAAAGAUAGUUCAGUGGUCAGUCAUUUAGUUUGCUCUUCAAUGGUUAUCAAUUCAAUUCCUUUUAGGACCACUAAAGUGAGUACACAGCUAUAAAUUUCAAGGCCCCAUGAGAUUAGUCGAAGUGCAUGUAAGUUAACCCGGACACCCAUGGUCAUAAAAAAUAAAAUAAAAUCGACAUAACUUUUUGGAUGAGACAUGUGAGGGAACACAUGUCACAUUUAGAUGAUUUAAGGACGACGCAUGCAGCAAUCUCGACACAUUUUGUAUGUAUUCAUCACAACUUUGAGGUAAAAUAAGAUCACACAGACACCAAUAUCAUUACAUAGGGGUAUGCACAACGGAGGUCACAAUUAUAUUUUAGUUAAAGAAAGACAUCACAUAUAGGGGUAUGCACAACGGAGGUCACAAGUAUAUUUUAGUUUAUGAAAGAUAUCACAUAGGGUUAUGCACAACGGUGGUCAAAAAUAUAGUUUAGAUAAACAAACACAUGGUCAAAUGUUCUAGAAAUCACCCAAAAAAAUAAAUAAAUAAAUAAAAAUUCGCAAAUAGGAGAUUACAUAACGACGAUGACAAAUCAUAGCAUCUACAUUCACUGGUCCUAUGGACAAUGAUAUUAGAGGUCACAACAUAAGUAAAUUGCUACCCUUUCUCACUUUCAAUGUCACGACACAAAAAGUGAGAUAACUGGAUGACUAUAGAGAAAGAAUAACUAAUUUAUUGAAAUUUAGGAUGGAAAAUGGUGGAAGAGAAAAUAUAUUUAUAUAUUUCAUGUUUUAUCCUUGAUAUCAAAAAACUUUGAUAAUAUUCAUUAUCAUGUGUUACGUUUGGAAUAUUUAUUGUCUACUAGAUGCCACUUUAGCAACAAAAGGGUCCAUCACACUCCCACGCGUCAUAGAACGAAAAUUUAUGCUUGGAUUGCCGAGGCAUAUCGGAAAAAAAAAAAGGUGCCUCGACCAUCUAAGCUCUGCUAAUCGAUAAACUAUGCAGAACCCAAUCAUUUGGCUAAAAAAUGUGGGAAGCCUCAGCCAACAACAGAAUUAAAGUCAUCGACUCAAUCUCGAUCAUACAUGAAAAAGUUAGUGCGAAUCUUAACAGAAUCAACGUAGGCUUCAGUGCUAUAAACACGUGUGUUCACGACGAAUUUUAUGACAAGCAAAAAUAUAAACAAAACCUUGAAAAUUGAACUUAAUUAUAACUUCCAACACACAAGAAUAACCAAAUCCACAACUCCNNNNNNNNNNNNNNNNNNNNNNNNNNNNNNNNNNNNNNNNNNNNNNNNNNNNNNNNNNNNNNNNNNNNNNNNNNNNNNNNNNNNNNNNNNNNNNNNNNNNNNNNNNNNNNNNNNNNNNNNNNNNNNNNNNNNNNNNNNNNNNNNNNNNNNNNNNNNNNNNNNNNNNNNNNNNNNNNNNNNNNNNNNNNNNNNNNNNNNNNNNNNNNNNNNNNNNNNNNNNNNNNNNNNNNNNNNNNNNNNNNNNNNNNNNNNNNNNNNNNNNNNNNNNNNNNNNNNNNNNNNNNNNNNNNNNNNNNNNNNNNNNNNNNNNNNNNNNNNNNNNNNNNNNNNNNNNNNNNNNNNNNNNNNNNNNNNNNNNNNNNNNNNNNNNNNNNNNNNNNNNNNNNNNNNNNNNNNNNNNNNNNNNNNNNNCACAAAAUAAAUAAAUAAGUGGUUCUAUAAAUAGUCAUUCACCCAACUUAAAAAGGUUGAAAACAUAAGAUCGAAACUUUCACUAUCAAAAGUGGAAAUUACAAUAGACCAGAGUUUUAAACUUCAAAUUUCAAAAUAAAGAUUUACUAGUUUUCUUUUCAAAAAUUAGAUGAUAAAUGAUAUUUUAAAUAUUAAUAUUUAUAUCACAAAAUAUUUAAUUCAUCCCACCUAACAUAUACUCAACCACCCACACAAACCUUAAAUUAUUUUCAUCUCUCAUCUCCCUAUCCCACCGGAAGUUGUCGUUGGAAGCCAUUGCCAGAGAGCAUAGUCGAUUACAUCGCUACACGAUCGACUGUUGCUUUUGAGUGAUCAUAUGUUGCUACUGUGCGUUCCUCCUCACUCCAUCCUAAAUCUAUUUUUUUUUUUCGAUUUUGGUGGCCAAAGGUUUUUUUUGUGCAGUUCGAUUAUGGUGUGAUGUGGGUGUGGUGUUGCGUUGUGGUUGUGUUGUAUUGUGUUUGUGUGGUGUGUAGUGUGUAGUGGCGGUGUGCGAUGUGUGGUAGUGAUGAUGGUGUUGUGCGUUGGGGAGAGUGUUUGGUCCAUUUAUUUGGGUGGUCAUGGUGGUGCGGCGAUGGUGUUCUAUGGUGUUGCGGGCGAUGGUGUUCGACAGUGGUGGAGAUGGUCUAGAUGGUAGGUGCAAGCGAUUGUGUUUGGCGGUGGUGGAGAUGGUGGUUGUGGUGAUCACGGUGGGUUUAGUGGUGUUUCGGUGGCGGUGGUGAUGUUGAUGAUUUUGGUGUGGUGGUGGUGCAGUCGUUGUGGGUAGAUAGUGGUGGUAGUGAUAAUGUUGGUUGUGGUGUUUGAGAUGAUGAUUUUACUAAUGGGAGAUGGUGAUUCUGAUGGCGAUUUUUUUUUUGGUAGCGUGCGACUAAUGACAAUGGUGAGGUGGUAGUCACAAGGGUUGGUAGUGGUCACAAAUAAUUUAAUUGAUGUGUGACCAAUAAAUAGUAAGUGAGUAAAGAAAUAGAUAAAUUGUGACUAAUAAAUAAUGUAUGAUCUAAAAAUUUGUUAAUAUGUGACUAAUGAUUUGAUAAUUUGUGGCCUAAACAUCAUUUAUGGUUAAUUAAUUUGAUAUUUUAUGACUAAUGAACAAUAUGUAACCUAUUAGUUUGAUAAAUUUGUGACCUAAAAAUUAUUUGUAAUCAAUUAAUUCAAUAAUUUGUGACCAAAUUGUAUAAAAUUGUAACCUUAUAUUUAAUUUAUAAAAUAUACUUUUAAUUAAUUAUUUCAGAAAUCAAAUUUAAAAAAUAUAUGAUUUUUGAAAUUUUAAUCAUUUUAUCUUAGUUUUGAAACGAGUUAUAGAUAAACUCUUAAUUAUGAAUUUUCCCCCAUCUAGAAACAGCAUCAAAAAACAAAGAAAAAUUGAGAACAACACUUCGGCCAAUAUAACGUUGGAACGUCCAUCUUACUCCUUUUUCUCCAAACAAUCUGCCUGCAAACACACCCAAAAUUCUCGAAAGAAGGAAACUCUACUAAAUUUGUACAGAAAACUUGAGUGUAUUUUAGGUCAAUAUCUUAUAUAAAUUUAUUCUGUCUUUUUUUGUGAAACGAUAUGUGUAUUAUGAACUAAUUUUUACAAACUUCUUCAAAUUUUGAUAUUUGUAAAAAUGAAAAUGUAAAUAAUAGUAUUUACGAUUUUUUUCCCUUUUGUAUUAUUGAUUUAACUACAGAUAGGCUUGGAAAAUGAUUUUUGGAGAAAUUAGGCCCACUACUUCAAAAAAAAUUAAAAAUAGGGAACAAUAAAUAAGACAAGUAUAUAGUAUGCAACAUUUCAUAUAUAAGAAACACGCCAAUAAAUAUCUGAAAUCAGGUUAUAAAUGUUUUAAUAUUAUAUAUUAUAUAUAAUAUAUAUUAUAUAUGGAAUAUAUGUACAUAUGGAAUGAUUAGAUUUGGUCCCUAAUAUCAUGCAUUCAGUUACCCAUUAGAACUUAAAUCUUCACAAAAACUGCCUCCUCGUUUCGGGAUGAAAAGCCACAAAUCAAAUAUCAAAACGGUAGAUUUCUUCCCCAUUGCCGCCGACGGAACUUGCAUUUGAGAAGUAGUGGUUCAAUUUUAGUCACAAAUAAUCUGUAAGUGAUUAUACGCGUCCUUGCAUUUGAGAGAAGAAUGACAGAGUGCUAUAGAGAGCUCGUGAUGCCAACUUCUCGAUCCUCGUAGUCGAAAUAUGGCUCAAUCAAAAUUAGUGAAUUAUUGAUGUCACAAAUUGGAAAUUAUUAGCAAAAAGGAGUAGAUAUUUUCAAAGUUACUGUAACAGACGUAUGGUUUAUAGAGGUAAGGAAUUGAGUUUGAUCAUCAUCCUUAAAUAAUUUUGAUCAUGUUCGAAGUCACAAUUUUUUGAAUGAAACCAUUCUAUUGUAACCGGAUCUUCCAAUAUUUUAAUUUACAAAAUCAGCUGCAUUUAAAUUCUGUGAAAUAUAGAUGUUGUAACUUGUAUUUAAGUUCUUUGUAACCCUGCAUUAUAGAAGCUUUGACCUAUAUUUCAUCUGUGUGACUAAAUCCAGUGACAUAUAGAUGUUAUCACGUGUAGAUGUUGUGACAUGUAUUUAAGCACUCUAUGACUUAUAUUGUAGAUAUUGUGACCUGUACUUAAAUCCUUUAAAUGUAGAUGUUAUGGCAUGUAGAUGUUGUGACUUGUAUUUAAGCUCUUUGUGACCUGCAUUCCUUUAAAUGUAGAUGAUGUGACUUGUAUUUAAGCUCUUUGUGACCUACAUUGUAGAUGUUGUGGCAUGCAUACAAACUCUAUGACUUUUGUUUAAUUUUGUAAAAUGUAGAUAAAUGUUGUGACCUUUAUGUUUUUGUGACUAAAAUUUUUCAUCACUGUUUGUAGGCAUUUCCUAACAAUCAAACCAUCUUUUCGGCUAGUGAUGGAAGCUCAUCUCUGUGAUUGAUAUAGAUCAACGUACAUGAACCAGUAGGACGCUACAAUUGUGACCCGUGAUCGAUUUACAUUGACUUGUGACCUGUGACCAUUGCACAUUGAUUUGUGACCUUGACAUAAAUUAGAAUGUAAUGUAAAAUAUGAACAUAAAUCAGUGAAUGGUGACCAUUGUACAUUGAUUUGUGACUUGUACACAUUGUCCUAUGACCUCAAAUUAGAAAGCAAGAUAUGACAUGUGACUAGUGAACUUGACAUGUAAACAGUGCACGUUGAAUCGUGACAUGUGACAUAAAUCAUACUGUAAAAUGUGAAAAUAUGAAUCAAUGAUCUGUAACUCGUGACAUAAAUUUAGAAUACAAAAUAUGAACAUUACUCAGUGAACAAUUACUUGUUGCCCCUAACAAUGACUUGUGGCCUUAAAUUAGAAUGCAAAGUAACCUUAUGACAUAUAUCAUAUAAUAAUUCAAAUAAAAUACGUUACAAAAUGGAAAAGAACUUACAACCUGCAGAAAAUGCAAAUACCUUAAAAAAUGAAUAAAAUUUCAUCACCAACAUUAACAAACUAAAACAACUGUAUUACUCAAAUCGAACACAAAUCCCAGUCAUAAAUAUUACAAAUUUUUUAAACAAGAAAAUUGAUGUUGAAUUAAAAAUAGAGUAGCCCAUGUGGGAACAAUCAAUCUAGCAUGGUGCUAUUUUCCUUCUUCUUGCCCAGCUUUGUGAUCAGCCUGAUCUGCCUAUGUUUAAACAUUGGGGAAGCUAUAGCCAGCUUAAACAGAACUCCACAACUAGAAUCUAACAAAGCAACCUACUAUCUUGAUCCGCAUCUUAUCAGGGUCCGACUGUUUCAUCUCACUCAAUAAAAAAUAGUGGAUCAAUUGAGGUUAAACCACAAUUUCAUGACAGUCAAUGAAGUGUAAGAAACAUGUAUUUGCUAGUAUAUCUCGUUGGAAUUUGUAGAAUUUUGUUAUGAAAUUGGUCAUAACACUUUUUGUCGUGUUUAAUGUAAUUUUUCCUUGAAACCAACAGUUUUCAAGAAUAAUGUACGGAAGUUCCUACAUUAUUUGUAUAGAUCAAGACAACAUUAAAAUCAAAUAUGAAAUGGUAAAACAAUCAUGUCAUAGGUAAACGUACAAUAAUAUCUCACUUCACAUAUAUAAAAAAUCCAAUCACAAGUUCUGGUUCUUAAUGCAAUGUCACAUAAGGUAGAUCACGUUCAUCAUACUGCCUUUUCAACAUACAUCCAACAUAGUUUAUUAGAUCAGAUAGUAAUUGAGGUUACAGUUCUAGAUUAUGUAUACAUAUAGACAAUGUAAAAAUCAAAUAUGGAAUGGUGGAACAAUCAAGUCACGGAUUAACAUACAGUAAUAUAUUUCUCAAGUCACAUACAUAAAAAAUUCAUUCACACGUUCUGAUUCUGAACGCAAUUCUAGAUUAAUAUCACAAAUAUUCAAUAUUAUUCGCAAUACUUGUGACCAUCAAUUGUGACUUUCAUAAAUAGUCUUCAAAUAAAAUAAACAACACGAAAUUGAAAUUACCUUCUCCGAAGUCGAUUAAAUUCUAAUUCGAAACAUUUCAAUUUCUUGUAUUUAGGUUCUUUUGUAUUUUAUCUGUCUUUCUCUUAUCUUUCCUAUUCCGGCCUCAUUGAUAAGUGUGUUUAUGCACACUUAUUUAGGUCACAAACAUGACUUAAAAACGAGCAAAAUGAUUGAAUUGUGACUUAAUCUUGUACAUUUGUGAAUUGUAGGAAACAACAAUGAACAUGGUGAAAUUCAGGAGAAAAGACGCGAAAAAGGACUAAAGUGACGCAAAGUGAAAGUUCAGGGACCAAAAGUGCAAAUAUCCAAAAGUUGAUCCAAUGAACAAAUUGAGAAAUCGAUUAGGCCAAUUACCAAUUGACGAUAUCGUGGGGUGAUGAAAUGAAAAGAAUGAAGAGAAGAUGCUAAGAAGUGAAGGAUACAAGUGAGAGGACCAAAACGCAAUUUCUACCAUAGUUGAUAGUACUAUGUGACCGCAUAGUACUAUCCUCUAUGCAGUCGCAUAGUACCAUACCGAAAUCAAAGAGGCUUGAAAAGUUUACUCUAUGCGACCGCAUAGAAUUGCUCUAUGCGGUCGCAUAGAGCAAAUAUUAAGGAAAAAUUUAGUUUCCUUUUUCUUCUGAAACUCUUAUGGAAACAACAAUUUUAGGGUCCUAUAAAUACAGAAACUCGACCAGAACGAGGGGGACGCCGUUUUUACAUGUUUUUGCGAGAUUUUGAAGGAGAAACGAGGGAGAGAACGAGAGAACAACAUCGCGCCAAUUGAAGAUCGGAUUGAAGAUUGAUUCGGGUGAUGUCGUUUCUUCAAAUAUUUUUAAGUUUUGUUCUUUUUAGCAUGUUAGGCUAGAUUUAUCACUACUAGGAGAUUGAUGAACCUUGUAAUACUACGUUUAAUUGUUGUUUUGGAUUUUUGAUGUAUUUGAACACUAAUUCCGGAAUUGAUUGAUUUAUUUCAUUUUUAUUUUCAUAUAAUUAUUGUGCACGUAAUUAUAUGAUUGUGGUGACCUGUUUUAUGCAUUCAAAAGAAGAAAAAUAGGUUCGACAUAGUAUAAAUUAUCAUAGGGUCCGAUAGAGGAUAGAAAUAUACGUCUAUGUCUUGUGUGAAUUGUUGGAUAUUCGUGAUUUUAUAAUGCAUGUCGGUAUAUUAGUAUUCGUCAUAGAAAUAUAGUCGAAUCAUAUAUUGGGAUAGGUUUGGCAUUGCUCGAGAGAGAUUGCUAAAUUAAAAUAGGAAUAUCGAUUCAUCUUUUGUGGAAUUGUGUGUCAAAUUUGUAUAAUUGACAAUUGAAAGGGUAUUGCUUGGGGAUUCGUGAUCCUAGUGUGUUAGAACAUCCAUUAAUUCUAUAAAAUUCUAGUUAAAUUGCAUCCAAGUUACUUUGAACUUAGUAAAAUCCCUCAUCCAUAAUUGUAUCAAUGAUUAUAUUUUGUUAGUUAAAAUACAAAAUCGCAAUUUGGUUGUCGUGUUUCGGUUAAGGUCAUAUUAGAUUAAUUCGAACUAAUUCAAUCCUCGUGGGAUCGAUACUUGGACUUAUAGUCUAUUUUACUACUUAUGAACGAACCGUACACUUGCAGUGGAUUUAAAAUCGGAAUAAACAAUUUUUCGAACAAGUUUUUAGCGCCGUUGUCGGGGAUUGAAAUUUAGUUUUAAUUUUAUCUUUUAUGACACUAAUUCGAACUUAUCUAGAUUAGUAAUAGUUAGCUUACUAGGUUUAGUUUAUUAUUACUUCAAGUUAAUUUUGUAUUGAUUUUGCAAUCUCAGGGCUUGUAUACAAGGAGCACCUAAUCAAGAUCUGGUUCUCAUAGAUCUAGAGAUUGAACGCACAUUCCGUCACAGGCAAAGAGAAGCAAGAGCGGCACACCAAAUGGCUAACGAGCAAAAUCGACCGGUAAUUCCACUCAACGAAUGCAUGGCAGUUGAAGAUGAUGAGAAUACAGUACUCGGGGACUUCGUGGCUCCGUUAGUGGUCCGAAGUCAAUCUAGCAUUGUGUAUCCUCCAUUUGGGCAACCGAACUUCCAGCUGAAAACAAAUGUGAUUCAAUUAUUUCAGAAUGGGCAUCAAUACCACAUGAUGGCUAGUGAGAACCCACAUACACACAUAUCCCGAUUUCUGGAUAUGUGCCAACACUUCAGGUACCAGGGUAGGGUAUCUCGGACGAUGCUAUAAGACUGCAGUUGUAUCCACACACCUUGCGGGAUAAGGCACUUGAAUGGUUGGGUUCGCUUCCCGUUGCAAGCAUCACCACCUGGAACAAACUAGCCCACAAAUUCUGCACUAAGUUCUUCUCGCCAGCAAAGAUAGCCAAAAUGCGGCAUGAUAUCUCUAUUUUCAACCAAGGUAAGUCUGAAUCAUUUGAAGAGGCAUGGAAUCGUUUCAAGAAUAUGUUGAGGAAGUGCCCGCAACAUGGCUUUGACAAGAAGACACAGAUCUGAUUUUUCUACAUUGGACUACUUCUAUCCUUCAAGAGCAUGGUUGAUUCCUCAUCUGACGGGUCUAUCUCCAUGAGAACAGUUAAUGGAGCAUGGGAGCUAUUUGAGAGAAUGGCAACAACUUCAGUCAUGUGGUCUAUAGAUCGAGUGGUUCAGAAGAGAUUGUCGGGGGUUUAUGAAGUAGAUACUUCUUCCGCACUAUCUGCAAAGAUAGACUCUUUGUUCCAUAAGGUUGAGAGCAUUUCACAGACUGCCACUGCUAAACAAGUCAAGAAAUCGAGUUGUGAAGAAUGUGGAGUAGACCACAAUAUUGUUAAUUGUCCAAUUCUCGCACAAGGGGUCGAACAUGCAGAUUUUGUGCAAUGGGGUCAACGCCAACAGAAUAACCCACAUUCGAAAACCUUCAAUCAGGGCUGGAGAAAACACCCAAACUUCUCAUGGAGCAAUCAGAAUCAAAACAGACCACAAAGUCAAUAUCAGCAGCAGGAUAAAAAGCCACCAUUGGAAGAGAUGUUUGAAAAGUUCAUGGUGACAACCAAUCAGUAUAUGGAAGCCAACAAUCAGUUUAUGCGAAAGACAGAUGCAACUCUUCAAGACCAAAGUGCAGCAAUAAAAAAUUUGGAGACACAAAUGGGACAGAUGACAAUCUCCAUUACGGGUAGAGCACCAGGAAAUCUGCCCAGCAACACUGAAAUCAACCCUAAGGAGCACGCAAAGGCUAUAACAACCAGAAGUGGAGUACAACUACCGGAGAUACAUGUCAAAAGAUUGGUAGCUAGUAAGGAAUCAGCACCAACCUCGGAUGACGAAAUUGUGGAACAAACUAAACAAACAACAGGGAAUGUGGUCGAGGAGAAUUCCAAUACAUCACGGGAUGACAUUCCUAUCAACCCUCAUGAGCCUUCUAUUCCAUUUCCGCAGAGAUUGAAAAAGCACAAAUUGGAUCAGCAAUACAGUAAAUUUCUUGAAGUCUUCAAGAAACUACACAUCAACAUUCCAUUUGUUGAAGUACUUGUUCAGAUGCCAAGUUAUGCAAAAUUCUUGAGGGAUAUCCUCUCCAACAAGUGAAAGAUAGAAGAACACGAAAUAGUGAUGCUAACUGAGAAGUGCAGUGCCAGAAUCCAGAGAAAGUUGCCUCCAAAACUAAAGGAUCCAGGGAGUUUUACUGUACUUGACACUAUAGGAAAUUGUCAUUUUGAUAAAGCAUUGUAUGAUUUAGGUGCAAGUAUUAAUUUAAUGCCUCUCUCUAUUUUCAGAAAACUCGGCUUGGAAGAAGCUAAAGCCACAACGGUUACAUUACAGUUAGCAGAUAGAUCCCUUACACAUCCAAGAGGGAUCAUUGAAGACGUAUUGGUAAAAGUGAAGAAGUUCAUAUUUCCAGCCGAUUUUCUUAUCUUGGAUAUGAAGGAAGAUAAGGAUGUUCCACUUAUAUUGGGGCGACCUUUCCUAGCUACUGGAAGAGCGAUUGUUGAUGUUCAGAAAUGGCAGCUUAUAUUGAGGCUUGGCGAAGAGCAAAUCUCAUUCAACGUGUUCAAGGCAAUGAAAUUCCCGACUGAGUCAGACAGCUGUUUCCAGAUCCAUGUAAUUGACAGAAUAAUUUAAGAUACAUUUCGGCUACAUCAUCCUUCCGAUGCUUACGAGGCGUGCAUUGCACAUUCUCAAUCCACUCACACUGAUUCGAGUGAUAUUGAAACAUGUGCAUAAUUUUUGGAAACUAAUCCGCCAUACAUGCGUAGACGUUACUUCUAAGAGUUGGGAACCAAGAUUACACAGUCAGUGCAAUCUAUUCAACAAGCUCCCAAAUUGGAACUCAAGUAACUGCCACCACACCUGAGAUUUGCUUACCUGAGGGAAUCUUCUACACUUCCAGUUAUUAUUUCGAGUACUGUUAGUGAGGUGGAGGAAGAGAAACUACUUCGGGUGCUAAGGGAGAAUAAAACAGCCAUUGGAUGGUCGAUUGCAGAUAUUAAGGAGAUCGGUCCGUCGCUAUGCCUACACAAAAUACUCAUGGAGGAAAAAUUUAAACCAAGCAUUGAUGGUCAGGGGAGAUUGAAUCCACACAUGAAGGAAGUGGUUAGGGCUGAGGUAUUGAAGUUGCUCGAUGCCGGCAUCAUCUAUGCAAUAUCAGAUAGUGCUUGGAUCGGUGCAGUACAAGUUGUUCCCAAGAAAGGGGGUAUCACAGUGAUAGAAAAUGAGAAAAAUGAGCUGAUUCCUACACGGACUGUGAUUGGAUGGAGAGUAUGCAUCGAUUACCGCAAACAAAAUGCUGCUACUCGAAAGGAUCACUUCCCACUACCGUUCAUUGAUCAGAUGCUGGAGAGACUAGCAGGGCAUUCGCAUUAUUAUUUUCUGGAUGGAUAUUCCGGGUAUAAUCAGAUUCCUGUAGCACCUGACGAUCAGGAGAAGACAACUUUCACUUGCCCCUACGGUACCUUUGCAUACCGUAGGAUGCCGUUUGGUUUAUGCAACGCUUCCGCAACUUUUCAGCGCUGCAUGAUGGCUAUCUUCUCAGAUAUGAUUGAGAAAUUCAUCGAGGUAUUCAUGGACGAUUUCUCCGUGUUCGAGUCUUCGUUUGAUGAGUGCUUGGAGCAUUUGAGUCUUGUGCUACAGCGGUAUACGGAGACUAACUUGGUAUUGAAUUGGGAGAAAUGCCACUUUAUGGUACAGGAAGGCAUCGUGCUAGGACACAGAAUCUCAGCAAAGGGUAUUGAAGUGGACAGAGCAAAGAUUCAGGUGAUCGAGAAAUUAUCGCCACCUACAUCCGUGACAGGUGUUCGUAGUUACCUCGGGCAUCCUGAUUUCUACAGAAGGUUCAUCAAGGAUUUCUCAAAGAUUACUAAACCGUUGUGCUGUCUGUUGAUGAAGGAAUCCAUAUUUGAGGUCACCGAUGAGUGUCUGCUCGCUUUUAACACUUUGAAGGAGAAGUUGAUUUCAGCACCCGUGAUCAUUACACCAGAUUGGAAUCUGCCAUUUGAAUUAAUGUACGACGUCAGUGAUUAUGCUGUUGGGGCUGUCUUGGGACAACGAAGAAAUAAAAUAUUUCACGUGAUUUACUAUACAAAUAAGACCUUGAACGACGCUCAACUCAAUUACGCCACUACAAAAAAAGAGCUCAUUGCCGUAGUCUACGCCUUUGACAAAUUUCGGUCAUGUCUCAUGGGAUCAAAGGUCAUCGUUUACACAGAUCACACUGCUAUCAAGUACUUAAUGGAAAAGAAGGAUGCAAAGCCCUGUCUCAUUCGUUGGAUACUGUUGCUUCAAGAGUUUGACUUGAAAAUUAGGGAUAAGAAAGGCAGUGAAAAUGUAGUGGCAGACCACUUCUCUCAACUCGAGGCCAAAGAACAGACAAAAAUAGUGGAAAUCAACGAAGUCUUCCCAGAUGAACAGAUUUUUGGUUUGGGGGAGGCACCCUGGUAUGCGGACAUCGUUAACUACUUAGCCAGGUCUAUCAUGCCGCCUGAUUACUCCAGUCACCAG